rnacentral:lncRNA from 1 species
UCAAGUGCAGGUGGGUGGGGUAAUGAUGAUUGGCUUGUUGCAGGUGGAUUGGUAUUCAGUGUUUGGCUAGGUGCAGGUGGGUUGGGGUCUGUUAGUUGGUGCGGUGCAGGUGGGUUGGGGUCUGUUGGUUGGUGCGGUAUUAAAGGGAGGGAGUUGUUGCAUAUUGGGACGGUGAGAUCAGGUGGGGACAGGUAUGGGUGCCGUAGGUAAUGUGUGGCUGUUUGAGAAAGGAAAUUCAGUGUCAAUGAACCUUACAUGUCGUGACACAUAUAUGCGGCCUGUAGAGGGAUCAAGACAGUUGUAGGCAUUUUGAUCAGCAGCAUAACCUACAAAAACACACUUGGUAGAUUUUGCAUCAAGUUUAUGAUUCGAAUAAGGUUUAAGCCAAGGAAAGCACAAACAUCCAAAACUCUUAAGCUUAAGAUAAUUAGGGGAUGUGUUUAGUAAUUUAGAAAAAGGUGAUUGGUAGGAAAGUAUGGGAGUGGGGAGACGAUUUAUGAGAUAAGCAGCUGUUGUCAUUGCAUAUGGCCAAUAUUUAAGAGGUACACCAGAGUGUGUUAAUAAAGAGAGACCAGUUUCAGCAAUAUGACGGUUCCGUCUUUCUGCAAUACCAUUAUGUUCAGGUGUGUGGGGUGGGGUUGUUUUGUGACUUAUUCCAUGAUCACCUAAAAACGAACGUAAGCCAAUAUACUCUCCGCCAUUAUCAGUAUAAAGAAUUUUUAUUUUGUUUUUGAAGUAAUUUUCAACAAGUGAUUUAAAUUUUGGAAAAAUGGAGUAAACAUCAGAUUUCUUGCGCAUUGGAUAUAGCCAAAUAUAACGUGUAAAAUGAUCAACAAACAUGCAAUAAUAUUUUAGACCAUCAAUGGAUAUAACUGGAGAAGUCCAAACAUCUGAAAAUAUUAUUUCUAAUGGAAAAGAUGAUACAAGAGAUGAUUCAUGAAAAGGUAGUUUGUGACUUUUACUUAUUUGACAAGAUGAGCAAUCUGAUUGUUUAAACUCCAAAGAACCUAAGGAAAAUUCACGUUGAAUAAAACUAAAAAUUGAAGAGGAGGGAUGUCCCAAUUUGUGGUGCCAGCCUGCUGAUUUAUUUAACUGAAGAUGAUGAACGGACGGAGAGUAUGAGGGCCAAACAUAAACAUCGUUGAUGCAUGAUCCUUUAAGCUUCGUGUGACAUGUUUGGAGAUCCUUCAUAACAAAAGAACCAGGUAAGAAAACAAGGGCAUAAUUGGUUUCUUUGGUUAGUUUGGAAACAGAUAGCACAUUUUGUUUCAUGGAGGGUACACAUAGGACAUUAUAUAAUGAAAUAUCAUUAAGCUUAAGAGUACCAGAAUGAGAAAUGUGCAAACCUGAACCAUCACCCAUAAAAAGUGAAUCAGGACCAGUGUAUGGAUGAUAAACCGCAAGAUUGUUGAGAUCAGUGGUGACAUGGUGUGUGGCACCACUAUCAACGAGAUAAUGAGGAUUUGAGGAGCCCAUGGUCAUGGUGUGAGCUUGUGGAACUGUGUAAUUGUUGGGUUGACGGGGUGGUGCUUGCGGAACCUGAAUGGUAGGAUGCAGUUGACGGAAAGUAGUGCACUGCUGCAAUGAGUGGCCAACAGUUCUGCACCAUUGGCAUUUGCCUAAAUAUGGCCUUGGACCUCCUGGACAAGAUGCGGAAGAUUGCUGUGAAGGUGCAUUCCACGAUGAAGGUGGUGGAGGAGAUGACCGUGGUUGAGGCGGUGUAAACGUCCUCACCUUGGGUUUGUUGGACUUAGUUUGAGCAGUAAGUGCUGUUGCUGGACCAAUGUUUAGCUGGUGAGUUGUCUUUAAAUAAAGUUCGUGAUGUAUGAGCUUCUCGUGGAGCUCAUCAAAGACAAUGGGAUUGUCUCUUGCGUUAACACCAUCAAUAAUGGGCUUGUAACUGUCAUCAAGACCACGAAGUACAUAAUCAGUAAUAUCCUCAGCGGGAACGGGGUGACCAAUGGAUGCAAGUAGAUCAACAACAAUUUUAAUGUUGUGCAUGAACUCCGUAACAGAUAAAGGUCCUUUCACCGUGGAACGCAAGCGAUCUUUGAGUUGCUUAACAUGUCCUUGGGAAGCAUGGGCAAAAGUACCUUUGAGAGUCGACCAGAGGGCAGCGGAGGUUUUGGUCUGAGUAACCAGCGAUGCAACGGAGUCUGAUAGCGUGCUAAGGAGAGCGCCAUAGAUCAGACGAUCUUGACGUUUCCAUGUUAGGUACGCUGGGUUGUUUUGGCUCACAGGUGGGGUCUCAAUGCUGGUGAUGAGAGCCUCGGGUGCUGGAUGAGAGCCAUCGAGAAACUUGUAGAGAUCAAGACCAUCAAGAAUGGCUUCUAUUUGCAGCUGCCAAUUUAUAUAAUUGGAUUGUGUCAGUUUGACAACACCUGAUAAAGUAACAAAGGAGAAGGGCUUUGUUGGUUCAUGGGGGUUAGGGAAUGUCAAGUUUGAUUCCGCAGCCAUGCUUAUGGUGAGAGAGAAAGAGGGAGCGACGCCCUUGAGAUAGAAAGAAAAGGAAUGGUGGGAGAGGUAGGAUCAGAAAAGGAAAUCUGAUACCAUAUGGAUGAAGCGCAUCUUCAUUAUUUACUUCAAAGGAAUAUUUAUACAAGCUACAAAAGAUAAAAGCUAACAACAGGAUCUCCUAGAAUAUCUCUAUUCACAAACUACUAUGCUAACAAUUAGCUAACAAUAGGAUAAGUACAAAUUCAAAAUAUACAGACUGUAACGUAACAAGUUACGGUUGGUGAGGCUUAUCACUAAUACUUCCCCCUCAGUAAGAGCUCCAUCAUCCAGGUUCGGGUAGUGAUGUUUUGUGGGUUGAAAAUCCACCAAAUUGUACGUUGGUGGAUGGCUGCGCUUUUUCUAAAAAAGACUCGAUGCUUAUGGAGAAUGAGACGUAUGGCUUAAUGAAGGAGGGUGAGAAAGGUGACACCAAGCUUGUUGUUCAGGAAGGGGGUAAUUUUUCCAUGGGUUGCCAUUAGUUCGGUUUGUUUGCCGGGUCUUUGCUUUUACUGCUUUUUUAAUGAUAGAGUUCAAAGAUUUUUCAAUUUUAUCGUGGAACAUUCGUGGAGCCGUCAAUUAGGAUGGUCACCGUCUUGCUAGGGAAUUAGUGAGAAAGUAUAAGCCUUCUCUAAUUUUUCUCAUUGAGACUCAAUGUCAUUUUAACAGAUCUAAAGAUUUUUGGAAGAAGUUGGGUUACAAGGAUAGUGAUAUUGUUGAAGCUGUUAGGCAUGCUGGUGGCAUUUGGGUCCUUUCUGAAAUUGGGAGUAACAUUAGCUGCUUGGUUAUGAACCGUUGUUCUCAAGUCAUUUCCUCGAAACUUCAUUGUGACAAUAAGGAGUGGAUUUGUACAGCUGUUUAUGUGAGCCCAUCAAGUAUGAUCGUGGUUUGUUGUGGCAGCUAGAUUCUCUUUAAUUAUAACGGGGCAGCUAGAUUCUCCCAUGUUCUUGAGGUUUGUGGCCUUAUGGACUUAGGUGCUGUUGGAAGUAGGUAUACUUGGUUUAGAAGGGAGCAUAAUGGUCGUAGUAUCUCUAAUAGGCUUGAUAGGGGGUUGGCUAACUGUUCCUGGCGUACUGCUUUUCCGGAAGGGUACGUGGAGAAUCUUACUAAGCUUCACUUUGAUCAUUGCCCUCUCCUAGUUAGAUGUGGGGGUUAUGGUGAGAGUUCUCGCAAUAGACCGUUUCGUUUCCAAGCAACUUGGACAACCCAUGAGGAAUUUAUCAAUGUUGUCCAGGAAGCUUGGGCUCAAGGGGAGUUGGGAGUUAUUGAUGGGCUUUCAAGGGUUAGAGAUGGGGCUAUUACUUUUAAUAAAGAGAUAUUUGGAAUAUUUUCCGAAGAAAAAGGCAUGUUGAGGCUCGAAUUUCAGGUAUUCAAAGGAGACUUGAAGUUUUUGAUUACCAGGAUCUGGUUAGACUGGAAAUCCAAUUGAGGCGUGAGUACAAUAAAAUCCCGAGGCAAGAGGAACUCUUGUGGUUUCAGAAAUGUAGAGAGCAAUAGGUGAAAUUUGGAGAUAGAAAUACUAAGUUCUUCCACACUCAAACUAUUGUACGACGUAAAAUAAAUAGAAUACACGGGCUAUUUUUUGAUGAUGGAAUUUGGUACAUUGAUCCUGAGUUGUUCCAGAAUGAAGCUAACAGGUACUUUCAGAAUAUUUUCUGCAGCAAUGCUUCUGUUUUCCUUGAUAAGUGCGUGGUGGAGACUCCAGUUCUUUCAAAUAGUGGAGUGGAGAGUUUAAUUGCUCUGGUCACUAUGGAGGAAGUUACUAAAGUAAUUAUGGGUAUGCCUUCAUUCAAAUCCCCUGGUCCUGAUGGUUUCCAGCCAAUCUUUUUCAAGAAGUAUUGGCCUGUGGUGGGCAAUAUUAUUUGGAAGUUGGUUUCUGAGGCUUUUCAAUUUGGCAUUUCUGAUGUGCGCCUUGUUCAGACUCUUAUCGUGUUGAUUCCCAAAAUUGCUAAUCCUACAUCUUUAAAGGAGCUUCGACCCAUAAGCCUUUGUAAUGUGGUGUAUAAGGUUAUUACUAAAGUAUUGGUGAAUAGAUUGAGAUCUUACUUGGAUGAUCUGAUCGGCCCCCUUUAGAGUAGCUUCAUUUCGGGGAGAUGCACUUCUGAUAAUAUUAUUUUAGCUCAGGAAGUUAUGCAUUAUAUCCAUAAAACGAAGGCUAAGAAGGGUGUUAUGACCUUUAAAAUGGAUCUAGAAAAAGCUUAUGAUAUGGUUAAUUGCGAUUUCCUUCACCAAACUCUUGUACAAUUCGGAUUUCCUACUAUUACCGUUAAGCUCAUCAUGUGGUGUAUCACUCUAUGGGGAGGUGUCCUUAUUGUGGAAUGGCUCCAAGCUUGAUAGUUUUAAGCCAAGCAGAGGCCUACGUCAAGGCGAUCCUUUGUCCCCUUAUCUUUUUGUCUUGUGUAUGGAAAAAUUAGCUUUAUUGCUCACUAAGAAAGUGGACCUCGGGAUGUGGCAGCCUAUUAAGCUUUCUAGAGGAGGCCCACCUCUAUCUCAUAUUUUGUUUGCAGAUGAUGUUCUCCUUUUUUGUAAGGCUACAAAAUCCCAAGGCAUGAUGGUUUCUUCUACUCUAAAGGAAUUUUGUCAAGCGUCUAGGUUGAAGGUUAAUAAAGCCAAGUCCAAGUUUGUGUGUUCAAGGAAGGUGUCUAAUCAAAAGAAGAAUGCUUUCAUGGGUAUUUGUUCGAUGCGAGUGGAUAGUAAUCUUGGAAAUUACCUUGGUAUUCUUCUUGUUAUAGGUAAGGUCAACAUAUCUAUUUUUAAUCCUAUUUUAGAUAAUAUUCUGCGUCACAUGUCUACUUGGAAGGCAAGUCUUUUUAACAAAGCAGGCAGACUUUGACUUGCUAAGUCUGUUCUUUCUUCCAUCCCGGCACACUAUGCAGGUAAUGUGGCUUCCUCAUAGUGUCUGCAGUGAUAUUGAUAGGAUGACUAUGAACUUUCUUUGGGGUGGUGAUGUUAAUAAGCGCAACCUCAAUCUUGUCGGGUGGGAUGUCAUCUCUACCCAUAAAAGCGAUGGUGGUCUGGGCAUAAGGGAUGCUCGGUUUGCUAAUAUUUCUUUGCUAGGCAAGCUGAGCUGGAAUUUACUCGGGAAUAAUGAUAAAUUAUGGUAUAGGGUUCUUUCCGAUAAGUAUUUGGGGGAAGAGUCUUUGAUGUUUGCUCAAGUUAAAUCUUCAACUUCCUUUGUUUGGAGAAGUUUGUUGAAGGCUUUUAACCUUCUAAGGGAAGGCUUCAAUAUGCACUUGGGUGAAGGAAACAAGUCUCUUUGGUAUGAUAAUUGGAUGGGUGGUGCCAAGUUAUGUAAUUUCAUCCACUUGGGUUUUGAUACUCAGCUUUAAGUGAAGGAUAUUUGGCAAGACUACUCUUGGGACUUGAGUAGUUUAUAUACUAUGCUCCUUUUAGAGGUGAAUGAUCUUAUACGAUAGUACUUCUCUCCAAGAACGCAGGUUGAGGAUGAGGGAUGGAUUUGGGAUGGUCAUGCUUCUGGGGUGUAGUCAGCUAUCUUAGGCUAUCAGUGGCUUAGCUCAAGUGAUAAUGACGUUGGCACCAAUGAUAAAGUUUGGCAGUAGAUUUGACGUCUUAAAAUCCCUGAGAAGGUGAAAUUUAUGUGUUGGCUUGGAAUGCAUGACGCUCUACCUUCCAAUGAACUUCGUUUCAAACGAAAGUUAGCUUCUGAUCCUCUUUGCAAACAAUGCCAGGGUGGUGUGGAGAACCUAUUGCAUAUCCUUAGAGAUUGUCUGGAGUCCUCUCUUCUUUGGGAUAUGCUUGGUUUGACUACUAGUUCCUUCAUGAGGAGGCAUUCCUUCAAGUUCUGGAUUAUGGAGAACUACAAUCAUCAUUUUGGGCUUUUGUUCAUGGCAGGUGUAUGGUGGGCUUGGCAGUGGUGUAAUGAGGUAUACCUUGGUUUAAACAAUUAGGAUGUUAACUUUGUUGCUCGUCAUGUCCACCUGGAUUUCUAUGAUUGGCAUCAUAUUGGCCACCUUGAGAACAUAACUGACAAUUUCACUUUGUUCCAGUGGACCUAUCCACUUGUGGGCCAAGUGAAAAUCAAUGUGGAUGAGAGUUGUAUCAUUCAUAGUGGUAUUAUUGGUGGAGGUGGAGCAAUUCGUGAUCAUGAAGGGAGGUGGUUGGUUGGGUUCUCAGCAAAUUUUGGCAGAGGCACUCCGAUUUUAGCUGAGCUCUUGGCUAUUGAUCAAAGUCUGAAUCUUGCAUGGAGUCAUGGUUUCAAAAAUAUCAUCCUUGAAACUGACUGUCUGGAAGGAGUUCACAUUUUUCCAGAGGGUGUGCAUAUAUUCCUUCAAGAUAUUUUGCAAGUGGUGAGGAAGAUUCGAGCGUGGAUUGCUCUAGAUUGGGUUGUCGUUAUUAAGCAUAUAGAUCAGGAAGCUAACAGUGUGGCUGGUUCUCUAGCUAAGAUUGGAUCUCACUCAUCUGCUAAUCUCGUGGUGUGGAGUUUGGCUCCUUUGGAGUGUCAAAUGCAGCUUCAUCUUGAUCGUUGCCCCUCUGACUAGUUUGUUCUCUUUUAUUUCUGAUGUACAAAAAAAAACUAAGUUAACAAGGAAAAAUAUAACUACGAUAUUAGUUAAGAGUUUGUUGGGGUUGAGUCCUAAACCUUCAGCUCUUCCAAUGAGAGAGAAACUAAUUUAGCCAUAAAAUUUGCAACUAUAUUAACGUUUCUCGUAACAAAUGAUACUUGACGAACCAAAAAAGAGCCUAUCAAAAUCUAACAUUAUUAUCACAUAUAGAAAGCAAAUAAUCUGAAUUUGAAUCUCCUUAGAAAUCAACUUAACAACUUCCAACUAGUCACUUUCCAAAAUCACAUCCUGAAACCAAAACUCGAAGCCAAAGACAACCCAUUUUCUAUAGCAAAAAAUUCUACUAAAAUUGAGGACACUUUACCAUAAUUACAAAGAAAAACCCGACAUCCACAACCUUAUGACCGCUAAGGACACCACCCUUCCCAUUAUAGUGUGAACUGUUUACAGUUGUUUUAAAAAUAUCACUAAUCUAAAUGUUAUAUUUUUUUCAUUUCAUUACUAUAUUCCUUAUUCAUUACCAACAAGGAGAGAAUGUAUCGCUAACAUACAAAUGUACGGAUAAUAUAUACAUUUUUAAUAAUGUCAAUACAUGAGUAAUAAAUAUCUUUUAAAUUAUUAAAAUAUUAAAAUACAUACAUAACAUGUAGUUUCUUAAGCACUUGAAUUUGCAGGUAAAAUAUAUCUUCUUAAUCAGGUAAAUGCUGAUAUAAUAUUUAUAUUCUUAAUCAUUUAAAAAAAAUACCGCUAUGUGUGAAUACAUCUUAAUUUGCUAGUUUUUAUGAAACAUUAUCAAUUUGAUAAAGUAUUAGGACUACUUGCUGCUAUAAAAGACAAUUAUCCACCGUCCAUGGGUCCCACUACUUUUCACCCAUUCAUGCCCAUUCUGAUCGAAUCGCCGCGUCAUUUAUCUCUUCUCCUACGACGUCGUUUAUUCGUUCUUAAGCAUAUUAUAUUGGUGCUGACUUGGCGUAACAUGAUUGGUUAAUGAAACUGGUUGCAAAAUAACUGAAUGCACAAGAACGCUUCGAAAACAAUCGCACACUUUCAGCCCUAGAAGAGGAAAAUUGGGGAUUUAGGGUUUAUAUUUUCCUUCAUUUUUUCACGCGAAAAUGGAAUCGGAAGGUUAGGCCUUCAAAUCUUCAAUAAAUGGUUCUUUGAUUCAACUCAAUUUUUGUUAUUUGAAACAAUAAUGCAGUAUGUUUGAUUUUUUUACGCUUUAUCAUGUUUUAGGGCAAAAAGGUACCAUGAAUCCUUCAGCAAUGUUAGCUUCUCUUCUUAGUAGGAGAGCUAAACUUCACGAGGAACUUCGCAGCAUUGAAAAGCAGGUAAUUGUUUUUUUAAUUUCACAUCAGGGUUCGUUUAUUUGCUUCGAAUUUGUCCGUGUAUGAAAAAAGUUGAAAACCCUAAAAAAGGGGUUUUCUCUUAAUUUAUGCAAUUCCAUAUAAUAAAUUUGGAAAAUAUCAUUUAGCCUAAAAUUGGGCACGUCACUAGCUCAAUAUUAUCACUUAUGUUUCUUGUUGAACUAGGCAUGCAGAAAAUGAUGCACUUUGGGUUCAAUAUAUUAUAUUAUAUCAUCAUAAGCUUAAAUUACGUGUUUAUGUUCACCAACAUGAAAUGAAAUAAUGAAGUAAAGCUCCUAUUAAGGACUCCACAGUCCAACAUGACUUCUAGCAAAAGGGGGCUAAUGUUUUCCCCUUAAUACAGGUUUAUGAUAUGGAGACAAGUUAUUUACAGGAUCCUGGACAAUGUGGCAAUGUAUUAAAAGGAUUUGAAGGGUUCCUAUCUUCAUCAAAGAACACUGCAUUGUAUGGGUUUUUUCUCAGGCUUAAUUGUUCAGUUCUUCUGUUGCUUUUAUUUUUGUAAGAGUUAUUUUAUUUAAUUUUUUUAUGGUGCAAUUCAAAACUUAAGAGAAUUUAAAACUGGAAAUUAAAUUACAUCAAUGCAAUUCUGUCCAAUUUUGUAAUUCAAAGUCUAAAUAUGUAAAAAUGAACAUGAAAUCAGUCAUUCUUUAUACUGUAAUUCAAGACUAGGAAAUUUUUAGCACACAACAUAGUAUACUUCACCGUUAACCCAUCAUGGCAUGUGAAGAACUUCAUUGCAUUCUAGUGCUGCCAUUGCCCCACCAUAUAGCAACUUUGUCUCUCUUGACCCCUCUCACCCUCUCCUUUGAUGACACUAUGAUUUGAAUGCCUAAUUACAUUUACAAUUGCUUCCCCUUUAUGUGGUCCAAUCCAAUCAUCCCUCUUGGUCGAAGGGACCUAAUUAUAUUUACAACUGCUUCCCCUUUAUGUGGUGCCAUCUUCCCUCUUGGUCUAAGGGAGACAUUAACAUGAAUCUAUGAACCUGUAACCAUUCCUCUUGGUCAAAAGGAAGCAUCUGUGUGGAUCUCUGAACCUUUUGAUCUCUACCUAUGCUGCAUCGAUGUGGUCAACAGAGACAUCAACGUCAAUAGAGAAUUGUCCUCUACAGAGUAGCUGCCAUAGCCAGAUAAAGUCUCCUCUACAUGCUGGUGGUUGGUGGCAGUGACGUUCCAAUCAUGUUCCUUCUGUGGUGUUUCGGGAGAGGAGUUAGAUGAGGGAUUUCCUAAAUUUCCUCAAUAGAGGUGUCAUUUCUAGUUCUCUGUUUAGGGUUACAAAAAAUACCCAAUGAAAAUUCCCAACAUUUAUUAAAUUCUUCCAUUUAAUAUCCAAACAAAGUAGUCUAUACAAAAUCAUUUUAGUUCCCCUCAAUAGAUGCAUUACCUCCUUUGAAUAACUUAUCCAAGCACUCUCAUAUUUUCUGAUGAUUCUAAGGAAAAUGGGAAGAGUAAUGGCAUCUUAGUAGUUAAUCCUAUUGGGAUCCAUGGCUUUCUCGGGACCGCAUCCCGACAAAUGGCAUUGCUAGGAUGCAAUACUGUCCGGUAUCCCAGUUCACUGUCGUGGCUGUCUCAUGCUGUUAUCCCAGCUGCUAUGGCUUUUUUGCGGCAGGAUCUCACUGCAACAGGCAUAUAGUGAAAUCCAUGUCCCCCCUCAUUUUCAAACCCCUUUCUCCUUUGUUUUUGGACCCAAUCAUCUUUUCUCCCCCAACCCUAAUUCAUUCUAACGGCUCAGGGGUGAUCAGCUUUCAUGCCAUUCAACCAAACACUGCUCUAACAAUUCUCAGCUCUCAACUUUCAUAACUUUUUUUAAUGCCAUUUCCCAUUCUUCUUCUGGAACCCAUUCUCAUCUCAGUUUUAACCAUGCCACCCAUUUUGAUCUAUAAUUUUUAUAUGCGCUAUAUUGGAUUUUAGUUAUCUUUAAUUGUGAAUUUUCCUAUUUUUGACCAUUUAUAUGUCUAUAUACUUAUUUAGUUUCCCUGGAUGUCCAAAUCCCAGCCACCCAGCUAGCCACUAUCCCAUUUUUGGGGUCGGACACUCUGCUAAGUGAAUGGUCUGUUAUAUGUGGUCAUAAUUCAUAUUAUUAGGUAUCUAUUCAGGUCUUUUGUAAUUUUGAUAUUAAUGGCUGUAGGAAAUCUAACUCAUAAGAUUUGCUAUGAAUAUUGAUUACUACAAUGCCUCAUAAAUUGUAUCUCGCUGGGUGUUUCCCAAAUGCAUUAGUAAUUGGGUCUUAUUAAGACUUCAGAUGAUGAACUACAGAAGUAGAAUUGUUUGAAAUACUCCGAAACAAGAGGAGUUCAAAGAGUUUUGCUCAAAGCGCGAUGGAGUUUUCAACGGUUGUCUUGUAUAUCUAUGUUCUAUGUUAAAAUGAAUAGUAUUUACUGGUCUUAUGCAUCUAUUCAUCUUAAGUAGAUGACAUGCUGAUUUAUUAUUCAUUAUGGAUGUUUGUCUUUGUGUAAGCAUGCUUGCAUGUGUUCAUGUAUUUCAAAUGAGAUAUACAUUUAAUCAUAGUUUUUCUAAAGCUUCAUGUUCAUGUUUGUAUGACCUUGUUAAAUUUAAUUCUCAUGGCAGCUUGAAGCGAUCAAGAAAGUUUCAGCCCGAAGAUAGGCUCUUUUCAUUAUCUUCAGUGACCUCGCCAGCGGUGUGUUUCUGAUAUUCAGUGAUAAGCUUCAAUCCAAGAAUAUAAAAAAGAAUAUCUGCUUGUGAGCACUGAGUAAUAAGAGUGACUAGGAAUAAUUAAAUAUAUCUUCACACUGUUUGUUUCUUUUUCAAGUUUCACAUCCUUAUUAUGAGUGGUCAAAUUGAUUUAAUGACCUUUGUGACCGUUUAGCAUGUUAAUUUUCGAUUUGGAUUCAGUGACUUUGAAGGUUGGUAACUUUGGUGACUUUAGAUCAAUUUAGAACAUAAUUAAUAAAUCUUAAUUGACCUAGAUCAAUCUUACAGACAAUUGACCAAGAUCAAAUUGUGAAGUCCCUAAAUCCGGGAUUUGGUCAAUUGAGUUCAAGAAUGGCCAAUGUGUUUCGACUUGGUCUAAAGUCACCAAAGUCACUGAAUAUAUUCCUGCUAAUUUCUAGGUAGGUUGGUAAGACUGAUUGAAGCAGAUUGGAGGCAAGAGUUUCCAACACUAUUGAAUAACAGUACAUCCAUUAUUCUUUGCCACCUUCUCUAAAAGGCACACGGCACACAUGUAAUGGAAAAGUUCAUUUAGGAAGUUUGACAAAGAAUGCUUGAUCUGAAUGUACCAUUUUAAUCAUUUUGGAACAUAAAACAGUCAGAGGUUACCUCAGUUAUAUGAUUGAUCUAUAUUUGGUAUUUGAUACAAGUAGUACUUGAAAUAUCUUGGUCAUAUACGGUUCGCAAGUCUACUUCGUAUUGGCAUAGGAGAAAUUAGUUCUGAGAUUAGGCAGGUCCUGUCAUUUGAUUUGAACUUCGCCAGAUGGUAGGUAUUACCGCAUUUGAUUAAGGAACUGUAACAACUUUUUUGUGGUGGAUAGUAUACAUCUGAGUUUCAAGUUGCUUAAACCUAGCUCUUCAACUCAGGAUCCUUUACUGGACAUGAUUCUAUCAUGCUCUUAAAACCUCUUCUCUGCUUUACUUUUCAUUCUUCCAAUUCAUUUAAUAAGUGUUUGCAACAUCAUCUUUUCAUUCAUAGGAUAUUUCUGACUUGUAACAUGCAUUUUCUUCAUCUGUUUAUUAUAGGCAGAAGAGAUAGCAGCUGGACGAGAUGGUGAGUUCAUAUAAAUGAGCAUUGCAACAACUUACCUAGCUUGAGUUUUAUUGUCUGUUCAUUGUAUUUCUGUUUAACUCAGAUGGGAGAUCAGAUUUUGGUCCUGGUCGUUCAAAAGGCGGAGGAAUUUAUGCAAAUGGACAGUAAGCACUCAACCAAUGUGUCUCUGCUAUAAUCUUGUUGAAUUAAAUAUUAUUUUAGUUUAGAGAAGCCUGUUUCUACGAAUUGUUGCAAAUAUGCAUGCAAUACAUGUUGUAUGAGCUAAAAAAACUGCAUAUUUAUAAUAGGGGUAAACCAAAGAAAGGAAGAGGCGCACCAAGAGAUGCGAAGAGGAUGAGAGCCUCAAGCGAACAAGAUUUUGAUUAUGAAGAUGAUCCUGAUUUGACACUGUGAUUGAAAAAUGUGGGUGCAAAUUUCUGUUAAACUUUGUGGAAUGCUAGAGCUUGAAAAAAUCUGCUUUCAUUAUGUACGGAGCGCAGUUUGUGCUCUGCAUUUGUCUACUUUCUCUGUAUAAAUUCUUCUAGUUCAGGUAGUUGUGGAUUUUGUACUUCUCAUGUACAAAAGGCAUGGGUAAAAUGUUAUGUUGCAAUGCAACUGGAAUGUAGUAAAUGGUUCUUUGUACAUUUUUGUUGGCAAGUCAAGAUUGUUAUAGAUUUGUUUUUUUCUUAUAUGAUUUGGUAGUAAUACUGUAAACUUGUAACAAGAAAAAUGAAGUCUGCUAUUUUACUAUGGACUUAUAGUUUUUGAAAUUUAUUUUUCCAGUUGUUUGUGUAUGUGGUAUGAAUCCUUCCAAAUACUUAAUUCUGAUCUUUAAAGGUUCUGAUUUUUAAUUAUGCCAAACAGUUAAUUUACACAUUUUCCCUACUUUUCUCUGCUCAAACCUUUGCCCACCCGCACCUUUAAUACAUAUUGUUGUCAUCAUUGUACUUAAAAGAAAAAGAAUGUAUAUACUAACCGUAUAUGGAAUUUAUGUAUUAUUAUUUAUUAUCUAUCAUUUAUAUUUAAUUAUUAUUAAUUCUUAAUGUAGUGCUUAUAUAUAAUUUUUUAGAUUAACGGUGUGUAUAUAUUAGCAAAGGAUGGCAUUAUUCAAGUGACUGUAGUGAUACCAAUGAUCAUAAAUUCAUAAUAGGAGAAGUGGUGGUAGUUUUGCGGAUAAUAUUGCAUUGAUAAAGAUUUUUGGUCUGAAGUUCUUUCAUCUUAUAAGUCCAACGAGACAAGUAAUUUACAUGACAUUGACUCUUAGUAUGAUAUUUACCCCAUAGUUGAGGAAUUAUUAGAAAAAUUGUAACCGUAGCCUGUUCUUCUAUUUGUUUUAUUUUACAAAGGUGAUAAAGGACUUUGAAAAUUUUCCUUUAUUCAAACUAUCAAAAUACUAAUUUAAUUUAGUCCAAUCCUAAUGAGAUUUUGUAACCUUUUUUUUGGGGGAGAGGGAAAAAGUUAUUUAUAACCUGAUUAUUAUGUAAAAAUGUAAAAUAAUUACUAAAGAACAAUUUGACUAUCAUUCGCGAUUUUUAAAGAUUAAACUAAGACAUUUUAUUUUCCGUUUUUGGUCUUUAUUGAAAGUUAUAACUUUUUUAUACUGAAGUUAAAUUCCCCCACUCUAUUCCUUCUCUAUACUAUUUUGGGAAUUGAAAUCCCUAUGUUUGAUUGAGUUGAAAAAUGAAUGAAGUAAUGAACCGGUGGAAAAGCUCAAUUUUAGGUUAAAAAUGCUAUUACUUUGCUUAUAAUCUUUAAUAGUUAUAAAGCAUAGGAUGGGUACAUUUCACAAUAAAUUUACCACAGCUUACAGUUUUGAACAAAGUAAAUAUAGAAAGAUCAAAAAUUGAGCAAACCAUAAGAACAACAACUAACAUUUAACAAUGGUGCAACAUUUAACAUUUAACUUGUGAUUUUAUCUCUUUUUUGAAAUUAAUUUAAAGAGGUCACCACCUAAUUUUCUACUUCGACUAAAAACUAACCCUUAAAUCCCGACUUUAAAAGCAUAUUUUGCACUAAUAUUAAUGAAGUAAGGAUCCUAUUUAAUGGGAUAAAAAAGUGAUAGGAAAAAUAACAUACUAUGAUAUUUUUAUCAUUUUAUUACAAUUGUAUUACACUUUUACUGCAAACAAAAGCAAAAAUAAGAUCUUCUCUAGAUAGAAUCCUUGUUGGUAUUUAGUGUAGCUUCUAGAUUUAAUGCAUAUUUUGUACUAAUAUUAGUGUAGCUUCUAGAUUUAAUGUUUGUCUUUUUUUACUAUAUAGGAAAAACAAUAAGGUUACACAAUGAUUAGCCAAAUGGGCAAUGCAAUCUCUUGUAGCUAGGGUUUGACUUGAUAACUCCAUACUUCAUUUCUUAAACCACAUGAAUAUAUUCUCAUAUCUAACACAUUAUAAUACGAACAAAUUAAUCUUCCACAGUCAAAUAAAGAUAACCCCGAAAUAGAAAAUAUACCUUUUAAGUCAAGAUAAAAAUUACCCACAUAACAUAAGAAAAACAAAAGAUGUUGACAAAACUUCAAAAGUCUUGUAUAUAUUAUUAAGCCGAUUGUACAACAUCAUAUAAGGAGGCUCAAAGUAUACAAGGAUACUUUAUUAUUACACCUUAUACCAAAGUUCUAAACAUCAAAAACUUAUUGGAUCAUAAGAUGAGGCCACCUUAGUUUACACCAUUAUUAUGUUAUCAUGCCACCUUAACAAGGUUGUGAUCCUGAGACUGAGAUUGAGGAGUAACCAAAGGGUUAUGGUUUCCAUUAUAUUUGAGCUCACUCACUUGAUUCAAGCUGAGCCUAAAAGCAUUGGCAAGAACCUCAGCAGGGAUGCCCCUAAACACUUGCUUCAAUGGGCUAGUGGUAGCUUGGUCAUUUGUUUUGAAUGCAAUGAACUCAAAUCCUUCAUCUCCUGCUUGGUGUGCUACCACAAAGUUUUGUGGCACCACUAAUAGUUGUCCCCUUCUAAGGUCAUCAUUGAACACUGAGUUUCCUUGGCUGUUUACCACUUGAACCCUUCCUCUCCCUCUUAUCACAUAGAUCACACUGUUUGCAUUUAUGUUCCAGUGUGGAGCAUAUAUCCCAUUCUGCAUGUACAUGCAGACAAUACAUAAUAAUAUCAUGUUAGCAUAUACAUAUAGCAUAGUGUGCUAAUACAUAAUAAUAAGAAUUCGUUUAAGAUUUAAGUUAUUAAAUAUAGUGGUAAGUAGUGUUUUAAAUUUCACUCCAAUUCCAAUUCCAAGUGUAGUAUCAGCUGUGAUCGUAUCAGCUGCAUUUUCUAGAAAGGAAAUAAAUUUAGUAAGUUACCCGGUAGAGGUUAACAUAUUCGGCACUAAGUUGGAACCAUCCGAGAAUUGGGAGGGUGAGGCUGUUGGCUGUGCUGAUGCGACCAGCUGUAGGGUUGUAAAGGUCGGCGCGUGUUGGAUCAGCAAUGUUCUCACGAAGUAUGGCAGUGCAGAUAGUUUCUUCAAGGCCAUUUCUACUUCUCGGUGGGGAUUGUUCCUCUUCUUCUUCUUGUCUACUUCCUCUUCCACCACGGCGGCGGCGACGCUCUUCGGUUGUUGUUGUUGUUUCUUCCUCCUCUUGUCCUUCAUCUCCUCGUGUAUGUCUUCGCCGUGUUGUUCUCUUCCAUUCACUACCUCCUCUUCCUCUUCCUCUCUCUUCCUCCACCUCCUCUUCUUCAUGUCCUCCUCGGUGUCUUCUUGACUCGCGAGGUUCAUCUUCUUCUUCUUUCUCUUCUUCUUCUCUUUCCUCCCUUCGUUCACGUCGUCUUCUCUGGCGUGGUUCUUCUUUUUCUUCCUCUUCCUCCUCUUGUUCUUGCCACUUGGGGCUGAUAACUCCCAAACCUUCCUCCACUCUUAUGAUUUGUUUGAUUCGUUCAUUCGGAUUUUGAAGUUUGUGUACUGUAUCCUCGUCUAUGUUGAGAGCUUGAGAUAAAAACUGUGGGUCAAAUCCACUCAGUAUGUUGUUUUUUCCUUCUUGUUCCUCUUCUUUCUGGUGUUGUCCAUGCCUGCGUCCACUAGGUCUUUGAUGCUGCUGUCGCUGCUGCCUUUGUUGCUGGGUCUCUGGAUACUCUUCUUCUGGGUUACCAGCUAGAUAGAAUCUCUGCAAAGCCAAGUAAAUAUAAACUAAGUAACCAACUAAUCAAAAUAUAUAAACUACAUGUAUAUAAGAAGUUAGAGGUUAAUUUAUAUAAAGUAAUGAUGUUGAAAUCUGGUGUCACAUAUUUUAUUGACAUAAUUUUGGAUAAAAGAUCCAUGAUCAUGUUAUGUUUACAACUUCAUCACAAUAAAACACUGAUAUCACAAUAUUUAGUUGUGAAGUAUACUUACUCUUGGGUUUGGAUCAAGCUGGUUUGACAAGCUGGUAGUGUCAAGAAGAUUGAUAGCAACAAGUUGUUCAUCACCGUAGUUAUAAGUCCAGUAAGGGGUUCCAGGUGGAAUUACUAAGAUAUCACCUUCUCUGAAGUGACGAAUCUUCUGGUGACUAUCCUCUUGUUCCUGUGAUUGUGACCUUUGUCCUCUCCUACGUUCUUGUCUAGACUGUGAUUGUUGUGCUUCUUCAAAUGUUUCAGUACAUCCAGGAACUGAAAUUCCUAGGGCUCCCUCACCUGGAGUAUAUGCACAUGCAUAUGAGAGAGUAGUCACAAAUAAUCAAUAAAUGUAAUAAUGUAUCCUUUUAAACAAAAAUAUUGGACUCCUUUCAUAUGGGAGAUAAUUGAAGAGGAUCAAACGCUUCAUUAUAUGGUUAGUUUGCAAUUAUAUAUGAUGAUUAAAUUGGCUUCAUAAAAAUGGUGUAAUAAUGUAUAGGAAUGAAGGUUCAUACUUACCUUAAAAAAGUGCAAGCCUUGAUAAUUUACUUGAAAUUAUAAAAGUUAUAUCUUAGAUUUGGAUUAAAGCUAAAUUUGAUAUAUUUCUAUAUUUCUUUCUUGACUAUUGAAAUUCAAAUCCUUUGAUCAGAGAAAAAAAACAUCUAACAAUUAAGAAAGAGAGGAUAAUGUAUACCAUUUCAUAUACUAUAUACUUAUCAUUAGUAAGUUUUAGUUUUAUAUUUUAUAGAAAUAAUCAAUAAUCGGAUAUCAGUACAGACUUAUAUCAUUAAUAUAUAGAGAUAAGAAAGAAGGAAAUAAGAAAGAAGGAAAUAUUAUAUAAAGAUGUUGUGUUCGAAUAUAUCUGACCUUGAACAAUCAUAAUGAUCUGUGGAUAAUUAGUGUAGGAUGGCAAGUGUAAUCCCUUUGGCUCAAUGGUAUGUUUUUCAAAUGCAACACCAGCACAACGUAGCUCAGGUUUAUUUGAGUUCCAUGUCUCAGUAACACCACCUUCUGACUCAAUCCUAUUAUCAGGUUCCAAAGCAUUGAGUCUAUCCAAUUGACACUCAUUGAACCUAUCUAGCCCUUCACCUAAACAUGCACUCGUGUAUAACAACACUAAGCAAAGGGAUAAAGAGAGUAGAAAAGGGUUAGCCAUUGUGAAACAGUAAUAGUUGAGUGAAGUUGGUGAAGCGGAGAAACUAAACUGUGGGUAUUUAUAUGGAAGAGUGGAGUGUGAAUGAAGGACACGUAAUGAAAGUGUGUUAUUGAGGUGUUGACAUUCUUCAACAUGCAUGGCUAUAUAAACCUCAUGUUGUUACACCUCAUAAGUGCUGUGGGCGCAGGUGCCUUCACGUUUCAUAUAAUCAUCCAAGGAAUGGAAUUGUUUGCACCCCUUCUUUCAUGAGUUUUCAUUAUUUAAUAACAUCUAUAAUACUAAGGGUUUAGAUUUAGAGAAAACAAUGUAUAACUGUCAUAAAAUAAAUAGAAGAACACAAAAGAAUUUCGUAACCAAGUUGAGCCAAAUGUGUUUCCGUUCUCGAGAAACGUACUACCAAUAUAUUAUUAAAAAAUAAUGAUUAUAAGUUCUAGCAUACCCUUAAGUCCAAGUUCCUAUUAGGUGUUUCUAUUUGGACAUAUUAUAACAAGUGACUUGAGUUUAAUAUAUAAGAUUGUUCACUUUACUCUAUUCCAAUACUAGAUAAUGUAGGACUAAUACACUAACAUAUUUCAAGCAUUCCAAUACAUCCACCAUUUAUAUUUAAUUAUCACAUUGUCUCAUAAAAAAUAAUGUAAAUGAAUGAUAGAUGUUGUACUGACUUUGUAUAAAUCUUGAGAAAAAUAUAAAUGUAGUGACAUUGUGUAAGAUUUAUAUAUUGUUAAUACAUCAUCCAUAUUUUAUCGUUAUUGACUUUUCAAAAAAAUAAAUAACACAAAUGAAUGAUGAAUAAUAUAUUAACUGUAUCUAAAUCUUUAUACCGACAAUACAUAAAUAUUGCACUCAUAAAUCUUUAUUGUCAAAAUUAAAUAUUUUAUAGAAUCACAAAUUCCUUUUUUUUCUUAUAUUUUAGGACCGAUCUCUUUUCUUCUUUCACAUAUUGGCUCUCUGGACAUGACUAAAUUAGGAAGGUCUACAUAUAAUCUUCUCUAGAAGUGUCAAAACAUACUACUUGGACGAGUUUCGACUAGUUCACAUAAUGUUCGGGUUAAAUUGAACUGAGCUAAAAAUUCCAGGUACAAUUUAUGUAUAUCAAAUUGCAGCCUAAACUCUUGUUAAGCAAGUUACAGGUUGUGACGGACCAACCCGUAUAAUAUUAAAAAAAUACUUAUUUAAAUUUUAAGUGAUUAAAUCUAUUUUUUUAAAUAUAUAUUAAUUGAUAUUUGUGUAUAAACUUAUUAAUAUACUUGUUAUGUCCAAGUCAACCAAACUCAUAUAUUUAAUGCUUUAUGUUUGAGUUAAGACGUGAUAUCAAGUUCACUUGUAUAAUUUUUAAUAUAACCUAUUUAUUAAUUUUCUUAUCUUAUUAGACUCUCACUUCCUUUGCAAUGUAAUUUGUAACUCCACUUUAUUAAUAUGCAAACCUUUGGAAACUAUCAAAAAGAAUUUUAUGUUAAUUUUAAUAAUGGUAGUAUAGACUUAAGUUCAGAAGAAAUGCUAUAUGUUAAAGUAUAAUCACCAUCGUAAUAUAUUAUCAUCAUUCUAUAUUUUGUAUAUGAUGAUAAUUUGUAUGUUCAUUAUCAACAUCUUCAUUGUGAACUGAUACAAAUUAAAUUUGGUCGUGUAGAGUUUUCAAUAUUAAACAAGUAUGAUGUCUUUUAGUUUAAAUACAAUUAAAUACACAAUUAAAAAAGAAAACAUGAAAUCCAUAUGAUUUAAUGUUUCUUCUCAUUUGAUUUGAUAUAUUACUUUCUUCUUGUGCUUAAAAGGACAAUAUGCAAAAUAGGAUAAAUAAUAUAAUGUUUUACUUUAUAACAUUAUUAUAAUUUAUAAAUAUUAAUGUUAAAAAAAUUAAUCUAUUUUUCAAAGCUCAUAACACUAAUAUUUAUUAUAAGUUUAUGUUAUUAUUAUGUUGUAAAACAAUUUUCACCUAAGACUUAUUACCAAGCCAAAAGUCCUAAAAAAGAAGAAAAAGGAAAAAUGGGUAGCCAGAACCCACUGAGGCAAGCCAAUCUAAACCAUGUUGUAAUAUAGCUCGGUCAGUCCAGGUUAAAAAGUUCAAAUUCAAUAAAAAGUACCUAAUAUGUUACCAAGUCCUAUGAAUCUUCUAAUUGUGGUGACAUUUUGGGCUUUAGCGGAUCGAAAAAAGAAAGGUCACCACAAAUUAGAAGUUAGAGAUUUGAACAACAUAUCAAAGUAAGAGUUUCUAUUUCAUACAAAGACAGAGUCUAGGCUUCAAAUGUUAAUUCAUUGCCUUCAAAUGUUGUUACACUUGUUAGCUGAUUGAUUUUUUAUAUAGCCUUUAUUAUUUUCUAUUGCACUAUUUCUAUUGUGCAUUUCAUUUUUUUACAUUAUCUAUUUAACAAUGUUUCAAUUUCAUUGUUUUUAUUCAUUGCCUUCAAACAUUGUUUGUCUUUAUUCUUUACUUGUUUCAUUAUUUCCAUUUCAUUGUUUCCAUUGUUUGUUUAACAUUUUUCUAUUUUGUUGUUUCUAUUUAUUGCCUUCAAACAAUAUUUCGUUGUCUUUAUUCUUUGUUUUCUUCAUUAUUUAUAUUAUGUUUCAUUAUAACUAUUCACUCGUUAACUUUUUGUGAUUUGUAAUUUUAUUGUUACUAUUUUGCUUUGCUUCUAUUAUAUUAUAUUCUAUUUUCCAUAUUAUGUUUCACAUUUUUGGCUAGGAAUUUUAUUGUGUUACUUUCUAAAUGCAGGAGGACUACAAGGAUAAUGGAAAAAAAUAGACAGACAAUUUCAUCAAAAGAACAAUUAUCAAUCAUUGAUAUCUUCUGAACCAAGUCCCCGAGACAAAGGAUUGUGCUUCAUUUAGAAGAAUUGUCAUCAAAUCUAGGGGUGAGCAUGACCCGACCCUAUCCACUUAUCCAGUAUGGUCCAAUCAUGAUCGAGCCUGAAAACGGCCGGGUCUCAUCGAGUCUAGAACCGAGUUUGGAUUAAAAUUUUUGAUACAUUAAAUAUUUACGGUCUGGUAGGGACCAAGCAUGACCCAACCUGACCCAUUUCAUGGUUACUCAGUCAUCGUGUUCAUAUGUGUCUGUAUUCAAUUAUGCACAGAGUAAUGACACAUUUUUAGUAGAGAGUAUCAUUGAUUCUCUAAUUUUUUAUCAUAUAUACAUGAUUAAUAAUAUUUAUAUAUAUCAUUUUAUAUGUCAAAUUACAUAUUCAUAAUAACAAGACUGAGGCAAGCCAAUCUAAACCAUGUUGUAAUAUAGCUCGGUCAGUCCAGGUUAAAAAGUUCAAAUUCAAUAAAAAGUACCUAAUAUGUUACCAAGUCCUAUGAAUCUUCUAAUUGUGGUGACAUUUUGGGCUUUAGCGGAUCGAAAAAAGAAAGGUCACCACAAAUUAGAAGUUAGAGAUUUGAACAACAUAUCAAAGUAAGAGUUUCUAUUUCAUACAAAGACAGAGUCUAGGCUUCAAAUGUUAAUUCAUUGCCUUCAAAUGUUGUUACACUUGUUAGCUGAUUGAUUUUUUAUAUAGCCUUUAUUAUUUUCUAUUGCACUAUUUCUAUUGUGCAUUUCAUUUUUUUACAUUAUCUAUUUAACAAUGUUUCAAUUUCAUUGUUUUUAUUCAUUGCCUUCAAACAUUGUUUGUCUUUAUUCUUUACUUGUUUCAUUAUUUCCAUUUCAUUGUUUCCAUUGUUUGUUUAACAUUUUUCUAUUUUGUUGUUUCUAUUUAUUGCCUUCAAACAAUAUUUCGUUGUCUUUAUUCUUUGUUUUCUUCAUUAUUUAUAUUAUGUUUCAUUAUAACUAUUCACUCGUUAACUUUUUGUGAUUUGUAAUUUUAUUGUUACUAUUUUGCUUUGCUUCUAUUAUAUUAUAUUCUAUUUUCCAUAUUAUGUUUCACAUUUUUGGCUAGGAAUUUUAUUGUGUUACUUUCUAAAUGCAGGAGGACUACAAGGAUAAUGGAAAAAAAUAGACAGACAAUUUCAUCAAAAGAACAAUUAUCAAUCAUUGAUAUCUUCUGAACCAAGUCCCCGAGACAAAGGAUUGUGCUUCAUUUAGAAGAAUUGUCAUCAAAUCUAGGGGUGAGCAUGACCCGACCCUAUCCACUUAUCCAGUAUGGUCCAAUCAUGAUCGAGCCUGAAAACGGCCGGGUCUCAUCGAGUCUAGAACCGAGUUUGGAUUAAAAUUUUUGAUACAUUAAAUAUUUACGGUCUGGUAGGGACCAAGCAUGACCCAACCUGACCCAUUUCAUGGUUACUCAGUCAUCGUGUUCAUAUGUGUCUGUAUUCAAUUAUGCACAGAGUAAUGACACAUUUUUAGUAGAGAGUAUCAUUGAUUCUCUAAUUUUUUAUCAUAUAUACAUGAUUAAUAAUAUUUAUAUAUAUCAUUUUAUAUGUCAAAUUACAUAUUCAUAAUAACAAGUAAUAUUAAGAAAACUUUAUCUAAAAUGAGUAUGCAUUAUAUUUAAUCGGGUCUAGGAUUGAGUUCUGGUUUAAAGGUUGACUCACUCGAUAUUUAGGGUUGGGUUAACUUUGGUCUAGGGCCGAAUCUUGGUUUAAAAAAUGACUCAACCAAGUUUUAGGGCCAGGUAAGGGACAAGCCUUAACCCGACCCAUGCUUACCCCUAAUCAGAUCGACGAAAAAUAAUUAAAAUUGUGUAAUAUCAUCAUUAUGAUCAAGAUAAGAUUCGAAGAGUAUAUUUAAAAAGAGAACCAUGUCAACCUACACAACAUAAUUUCCCUAAAAAAAAUUUGAAAUUCUUUAAGAAGAUUUGUCAUUCUUGGUUUAAUGAAUUUGGCAAGUGGUAAAAGUACAGUUUAGAAAAAUAUGAUAUAUUUUGCUUGUAUUGUUAUCUUUUUAAGCCUGAUUUUGGAAAGCAAUCUCGUGGUGACAUAUUUGUGAUAGAAGGAUUCAAACUUUGGAAUAAUAAACAUAAGCACUCAGAUCAUAUUGGAGGUCCUAAUAUUGCUCAUAAUAUUGUGUGUAAGAAUUCUCAAGACUUGUUGAAUCAAAAUCGACAAACUGGAGCUGCAAUAGUUAAGGAAUCCGAUCAAGCUCAUGACAUAUAAUGAAGGUGUUUAACAACGUCAGUUGAUUCAAUUCACUUUCUAUUGAAGUAAGGAUUAUAUUUUCAUGGUUAUGAUGAAUUAAUCGAUUAUGCUAAAUGAGGUAAUUUUCUUGAACAUCCUAAGUUUCUUUAUGAACUUAAUGGAGAAAUAAAUCAUGUCGUCUUGUAAAAUGGUCCUCAAAACCAUCAAUUAAUUUCUACAACUAUCCAAAAGGAUAUUAUUAAUGUUGCUGCAAUAGAAACCAUUAGGGUUAUUAUCACUGACCUAGGAGAUCAACCAUUUCCUAUUAUGGGUGAUGAAGCGCGUGAUGCAUCAAUUAACAUUCAAAUGACUGUUGCUUUGUGUUAUGUUAACUAUUAAACAUACACACACACAAGCAGCCUAGCCAAUCAACCUCUCAAUCCAGUCAACAUAAUAACAAGGCCAAGACCAAACACAAGCCACUUGAUCAAGAGGCGAAGGCCAAGUCAUCUGUUGAUCAAGAGGCCAAGACCAAAUAUAAGCCACCUGAUCAAGUGGUCAAGGCCAAGGACAAGUCAUAUGCUGAAGACAUUAAGGAAUCCGAUCAAGCAAGUGGCACAAGCACAUGAUUAUAAGUCCAGUCCAAAACAUGCGCUUAGUUACUUAGUUCACAACUCAACUUAUUUUGGUUUGUUAUCUAGCUUUUAAGCAUGUGUUGUUUUACUGAUUGGUUAGUUUUAGUGUUUAUUAGGAUUAGUUAGGACCCUUUGUAUCUCUCUUGAGUCUAUAUAAAAGAGGACACUAUGCUUCUAUUGAAUAUCAAGAAUGUAAAAACUACAUUGUAAAAAUAUGCCAUUGAUUAAUGAAGAAUAAAGUAUGAGGUAUUUUUCUGCAAAAAAAGUAAUAUGAUAUCAAAGCCUUCUUUUUGAAGGUUCUGGUUUACCUUUUGUUGUGCAUUCUUCCUUACUCAUCUUCAAUCUAAGUUUUCUUUCUCUUCUAUUCAAACAACCAACAAAUGGCAAAAAGUGUUGAGCUGGAAAGAGAUCUACAUGCUGCUUUGAGCAACAUCUAUGAUAUACAAAGCCCUUAUUGUCUACACCCUGGAGAAAAUCCAGAGGCAAUCCUAGUUCCCCCCUAUUAGAUGGCAGAAAUUACCAGUCCUGGAGUAGAAUAAUGAGGAGAACAUUGCUCUCAAAGAACAAGUUCAAGUUUCUAGAUGGAUCUAUACCAGCAACACGCAGAACAAAUCCCAACUUUGAUAUAUAGGAACGUUGCAAUACAAUGUUGAUCUCUUUGAUCACAAGGAGCCUAACACGUCAAAUAUCCCAAAACAUUAUGUACAUUGACAAUGCAAGGGAAUUAUGGUGAGACUUGAGAGAAAUAUUUUCAAAGGGUGACUAUUUCAUAUUCUCAAACCUGCUCCAUGAACUCCACUCAAUCAAACAAGGUGACAAAAGUAUUUCCAACUACUACACUGACUUGAAAACCAUAUGGGAUGAACUUGAUUUUAACACAAAAUAUGUCGUAUGCUUCCUCAAUGGUUUAAAUGAUGAAUUCAAUGCUACAAGGUCCCAAAUUCUCAAGAUGGAGCCAUUUCUCAGUAUGAACAAAGCCUUCUCAUUACUUGUUUAGCAACAAGGACAACUAGCUGAGGAAAAUCCACAAAACUCUAAGAUCUUCUUCAAUUCAAUAAGCAACAAACAACAAACAAAUCAAGAUGAUGAAAUGCAGAAUUGGAAUCCCAGAAUCAAUAAUAUGAGGGGAGGUACUUCACAAAGCAGAAUCAGAGGCAGUGCAAGAAACUUUGGUGCAGACAGGACCAAUGGAGUUAAGGUCUCACAUUCUGUGGCAAAGAAAGGCAUACAAUAGAAACAUGUUAUUUUAAGCAUGGUUUCCCUCCUAAUUACCAACAAGGGAAUCAAAGAUAAACUAAUACAAUUAUCAACAAUAUUGUUGUAAUUGAUCACAAGGAACCUUAGUCCCAAGCAACAGAAGGUGGUAUUUCAGGAUUCAAGUUUGGCCUCAAGGACUAUGCACAAUUAUCAUCACUUCUGAAAAAUAUUGGGUCUUCCAAAGACAAUCACAACAUCAACCAACUAAGCAUGCACCCAACACUAGUAGCUGAAUCUCAAAACAUUGCUAACAGUGAGGACAUCUCAUGUAACACAUCUUUCUGGAUACUAGACACAGGGGCCACAUGCCAUGUGUGCCCUAAUUUAGGUAAAUUUGACACUUUCUACAAUGUUAAGCCUAUUACUACAAACAUGCCAAAUGGUUCAAUAACAUUGGCAAGACUCUGUGGAUAUGUUAGUUUCUCUGAUUCCUUGAUAUUGCAUAAUAUGUUGUAUAUUCCCGACUUCAAAUUUAACUUAAUUUCCAUCCAUAAGCUGACUAAUUCUAUGCAUUGUGCUCUAACCUUUGAUGAAUUGAAAUGUUCCAUCCAUGAUAUGAAUACUUGGAAGAUGUUUGGACAUGUUGAAGUUAGAAAUAACUUGUAUAUUUUUAGGAGAAAAAUUAAUAAUGCCACAAAUUUAUAACACAAUGUAAAUACACUUUAUGUUGAUUUUGAUUUUGACUUAUGACACUAUAGAAUGAGACAUUCAUCACCUAAUGUUUUGAAUUUUGUAUGCAAAAAAUAUUCCUUUGUUCAUUUCAAUUCUGCAACAAUAUGUGAUUCUUAUCAUUUUGGUAAAAAAGCUAGGCUGGCCUUUCAUUGCAGCAUGAUGAGUACAUAAAGUACCACAUCUCCCUAUAAGAUCCAACAUCUUCUCUCAGUUGUCAUAUCAUACCAAUCCAUCCCCACUAAUCACCGUAGCCACCUUAUCUCUAUCACUAUAACUAUAGAGCCAAAGCAUUACAACCAAGCUAUUAACUCAUAACAUUGGAUAUGGGCAAUGCGAAAUGAACUCAAUGCACUUGGGUUAAAUAAGACCUUGACCCUUGUUGACUUGUCUCCCAACAAAAACCCUAUAGGAUGCAAAUGGGUGUAUAAGGUCAAGCAUAAAUUAGAUGGAUCUAUAUAGAGAUAUAAGGCUAGGUUAGUGGCAAAUGGCUUAAAUCAAACAGAGAAGAUAGACUUAUUUGACACUUUUGCUCCUAUUGUGAAACUCACAACAAUGAGACUAUUACUUGCCAUAGCCUCUUCCCAAAAUUGGCUUGUCCAUCAACUUGAUGUGAACAAUGCCUUUUUCCAUGGGGACCUCACAAAAGAUGUCUAUAUGACCAUACCAAAAGGUGUGAUAUGCAACAAUCCUAACCAAGUUUGCAAGUUACAUAAAUCCCUUUAUGGCCUCAAGCAAUAUGGAAGACAAUGGUUCACAAAACUCACCAAUUCCCUGACCUCCUUUGGCUAUAACCAGUCACAUUAUGAACAUUUCUUGUUCACCAAGAAACAAGGACUACACUCCACAACAUUACUCAUAAAUGUUGAUGACUUAGUUCUACCUAGAAAUGACAGCCUUGGGAUCCAACAUGUCAAGCAUCACCUGAAUAACCAAUUCAGGAUUAAAGAUCUAGGUACUUUGAAAUAUUUCCCAGGCAUAGAAUUUGCUAGGACUAAGACUAGUAUUUCAAUUUCACAAAGGAAAUAUGCAUUGGAUAUUUUUUAUGAUACAAGCUUUCUAGCUUCAAAGUUUGCACCCACUCCUAUAGUUAAGACUACCAAACUUCAGAAUGACAAUACUUUGCAUUAUGAUAACCCUUCUUCCUAUAGAAGAUUAAUAGGUAGGCUAUUAUACCUCACUAAUACUAGACGUGAUAUAAGUUUUGAUGUAUAACAAUUGAGCCAGUUUAUGGCUCAACCUACUGUUAUUCAUUAUAAAGGCUUAACCAUGGUGCUCAGAUACAUAAAGUCCAACCCAGGCUAAAGGUUACUCUAUCAUGCUUCAUCCAACCUACAACUUAAAGCCUUCAGUGAUUCAGAUUAGGCAACCUGCAUAGACUUAAGUAAAUCAAUUAGUGGAUGUUGUAUCUUUCUAGGAAAUUCAUUUGUGUCUUGGAAUUCCAAGAAGCAAAACACAGUAUCAAGAUCCUCUUCUGAAGCAAAGUAUAGAGCACUAGCAUAAGCUUCUUGUGAAAUUCAAUUGCUGACAUACCUUCUUCUCAACUUCAAGGUCCAUGUCACCCGACCAACUUUGUUAUAUUAUGACAAUGACUCUGCUAGGUACAUUGUUGUCAACCUAGUCUUCCAUGAGAGGACCAAGCAAAUAGACAUUGAUUUCCAUGUUGUACGAGAACACCUUGAAGCCAAACUAUUUCACCUUAUCCCUAUUUCAACCAAUCAACAAACUGCAGAUAUACUAACCAAACCCCUUGACCAUUAUUCAUUUCAUUACCUACUUGCCAAGCUUGGAGUAUUUAACAUUUACUCUCCAAUUUGCGAGAGGGGGACUAAAUACACACACACAUAAGCAACCUAGCCAACCAACCUCUCAAUCCAAGCAACAUAAUAACAAGGCCAAUACCAACCACAAGCCACCUAAUCAAGAGGCCAAGGACAAGUCAUCUAUUGAUCAAGAGUCUAAGACCAAGACCAAAUAUAAGCCACUUGAUCAAGAGGCCAAGGCCAAGGACAAGUCAUCUGCUCAAGACAUUAAAGAAGCUGAUCAAGCAGUGGCACAAGCACGUGAUAAUAAGUUCAUUCCAAAAACAUGUGCUUAGUUACUUAGUUCACAAGACAACUUAUUUUGGUUUGUUAUCUAGCUUUUAAACAUGUGUUGUUUUAAUGAUUGGUUAGAUUUAGUGUUUGUUAGGAGUAUUUUCUUCUCUCUUGAGUCUUUAUAAAAAAGGGCACUAUGCUUCUCUUGAAUAUCAAGAAAGUAAAAACUACAUUGUAACAAUAUGCCAUUGAUCAAAGAAGAAGAUAAUAUGAGGUAUUUUUAUAUUAUGGAUGAUGAAGCGCGUGAUGCAUCAAUUAACAAACAAAUGGAUGUUGCUUUGUGUUAUGUUAACAAAAAUGGAAGUGUUUUUCAAUAAUUUUUUGAUAUUUUUCAUGUUAAAGAUACUACAGCUUUAUCAUUGAAAAUGACAAUUGAUGAUUUGUUUAGUAAACAUGGGCUUGAUGUAUUAAGAAUUUGUGAGCAAUGUUAUGAUGGUUCUAAUAACAUGCAAGGAGAAUUUUAUUGUCUCAAAAGUUUGAUUUUAAGGGUGAAUUCAUGUACUUUUUAUGUAUAUUGUUUUGCUCAUCAAUUAUAAUUGACAUUAGUUGUUGUUGCUAAAAAUCACAUUGAUAUUGCAUAUCUUUUUAGUUUAGUAUCCACAUUAUGAAAUAUUGUUUGAGGGUCAUGCAAACGACAUGACAUGCUUUGCGAAAAACAAAUAAUCAAUGUUUGAGAGCGACAUUGGAAAAGGUGAAAUUCUAAGUGGACAAGGUUUGAAUCUAGAAACUAGUCUAGAGCGAGCUACACACCGUUGGGAUUUACAUUAUGCAACUUUGAUAAAGUUUAUAUUGAUGUAUUAUACUAUAUGAGAUGUUAUUGAAAUUAUUAGAGAAUUUGGAUCAACUCUGAAAAAAAGACUUGAAGCCAAAGGUAUUUUAGGCUUGACAAAUGAUUCAAAUGAACUGUCACAAACAUUGCAAAGGAAAGAUCAAGACAUCAUCAAUGCUAUGAACUUGAUUAAAAUCGUAAGACAAUGAUUACAAACUAUGAGGGAUGAUGAAUGAGAUUCAUUGUUGUAAGAGGUAAUCUUAUAUUGUAAUAUGCAUGACAUUAAAAUUCUUGAUAUGGAUGUCAACUUUUCAUGAUGGUAAAUCACAAUGUGGAAGCAGAGCACAAGCUAUCAUAAUAGAGCAUCAUUAUCAUGUUGAAUUACUUUAUAAUAUUGUGAAUAUGUAACUUAAGAAAUUCAUGAUAGUUUUUCUGUGACAAAUACUUAACUGCUUCUUUGUAUACCUUAUUUGAGUCCAACCAAAUUUGUUCUAUAGUUUUGAUAAGAUAAAACAUAUUGAAUUUGGAAAGUUCUAUCCACAUCAUUUUUGUUCAGCUGAUUUGGCGAUGCUUGAUAAUCAACUUGAGACAUAUAUUUGAUAUCUUAGUAGUGCUGAACUUGCUUAUUUGAAAGGAAUCAAUAAUCAAAAAAUUUACACAAGUAGUGUAGCUUGAGUUUUUUAUUACGAUUCUGGUGUACAAUUUUAAAAUAUUAUUGGAGUAGUGCACUUUUCACUGAACUCGUGGAUAAAACGUACGAGAUUUCACAUUUUCUCUCUCCUGGUAUCGUGGACAUGGUCCACGAUUUUGGACCCUCUUUUUCUAUCUCUGGAAAUUGUGGAUGCAUUCCAUGAUUUUCACCCUUCAUUUUUCUCUCUCCAAAAAUUAUGUUUUAGGUCCAAGAGUCCUACCUACACUGAUACGAAUUUAAUUAAGUUUAAGUUAAUUAAUUAAAUUCAAAAAAUAAGCUACUACACUAAAUAUAGUAAUUAUUUUUGACAUUGAAAUCUGAAUGUAUAUUUAAUUGUCAUUCUAUUGCAAUUUAUUUCACCAAUUUAUUGAUUAGAUAAUAUUUUAAAGGUCUAUGGACAUAAAUUUCAGAUUCCAAUGCAUUUACAUAAUCAUGUUACUUUAGUGUAUUGAUUAAGACAUUUAAAAAAUAAUUAGUAUAUUUAGUAUAGUAUUUUAUUUUUUGAAUUUGAUUAAUUAACUUAAACAUAAUUAAAUUAGUAUUAGUGUAGUAUUAAAUUAGUGUUUUUUUCAUAUUAUUUUACCAAUGUAUUUUAUGACACGGACAAUGAAUGAAAAAUGUAGGUAGAACUCGUGGACCUGGAACAUAAUUUUUGGAGAGAGAAACAUGAAUGUUGAAAAUCGUAACGCCAUCCACGAUUUCCAAAGAGAGAAAAAGAGGGUCCAAAAUCGUGGACCAUGUCCACAAUUUCAGGAUAGAGAAAAAGUGAAAUUGUGGACCAUGUCCACGAUUUCAGAAAGAAAAAAAAUCUCGCGUGUUUUGUCCACUAGUUCAGUGAAAAUUGCAUUACUCUGGUAAUAUUUUAAAAAUGUACACCAUAACUGUAAUAAAAAAGUCAAACUACACUACUUGUGUAACUUUUCCUCAAUAAUCUUCUAGAGAAGUUGGUUGCAAGUAGUAGACACAUUGUUUACCCAUUAGUUUAUUUUGUUUUACAAUUAGCAAUGAUUUUACUUGUUGCCACACCAACAGUUAAAAAAGCCUUUUGAGGUAUGAAGAUUGUUAAAAGUAGGUUGCAUAAUUGAAUGAGAGAUAUAUGGAUGAAUGACUAUCCCGUGACUUUUAUCGUGUGAGAAGUCUUUGACGAUAUUAACAAUGAGUUUAUCAUUUAAUGAUUUCAAAAUAUGAAGCCAUGUAGAGAUGAAUUAUGAAAUAUGUAAUUCAUUUGAUUAACUACGUUUAAAUUUUGUGAUUUUAACAUUAAUGUUUUCACAUGCUUAUAUAUGAUGAUAUUUACUAUUUUAAUCUUUAACAUAUAUUGGACAAACCCUACUCUAGGCUCUUAUUCUGUCACUAGAUGCAGCCAUAAUAUUAUGGCUGUAAUGACCGCCGCAACCGCAUCACACUAUAAUUGCGGUGGGAUCCUGAAUUGCAAUGAUGUGACCACAUCGGGUUGCAGCACAACCACAUUUAACCCCAUUUGUACUAUAAUACGUUGCAUGGUAUUAGAGACUGGACAACUAUGAACAUUGCAUUUUUUAGUAAAUUAAUUUGGACCCUUAUACUCGGUACUAAUAAGCAUUGGAUUAGAGCUUUAGAGACUCCAUUUUCUGUUGCAAAACUCCUAUCAAAUGCUUCUUGUUUGGCAAUACAUUGUUAAGACUCUUUAUGUUAAUUUGGUAUGAGGAUUGGAUAGGAAAUGGUUUGCUUUGCAACUUGGUUUACUAUGUUCAUAUUAUGGAUACAUGCAAGUUUGUUUGUAAUUGUAGGUGAAUAAUGCUUGGAACAUAAAUUCACAUGAUAUUGCUAUGAUACGGGAAUUAAGGACCAUUACGUGUAGUUAUUAUAGGCAACGGAAGAUCAUGUCACUCAACACUAUGCAUGAAGAUUAGCACAAAAUAAAAUUUCGUUAUUAUAGGUUUCAUUGGAGAGGAAUGAGAUUGAGGAAACUAGAAAUUGAAGAAAAAUGAAACCUUGAUAAAAAAAGGUUAUCGUUGGACUCUCGCCCAAGCGAGAGCUGGCGCUCAAGCGAUAAAACAAGCCAAUCCUUCUAGAGACCUCUCGUCUAAGCGAGGUCUGGCGCUCAAGUGAUAAAAUUAAGCCAAUCCUCUUGGAGACCUCUCGCUCAAGUGAAGUCUGGCACUCAAGUGAUAAAAGCAAGCCAAUCCUCCUAGAGACCUCUCGCCCAAGUGAGAGUUGGCACUCAAGCGAUAAAAAUAAUCCAAUCCACCUGGAGACCUCUCGCCCAAGCGAGAACUGACGCUUAAGCGAUACAAGCUUGAGAACAAGCUAAUUCUCCUAUCUUAAGGAAAAGUUUCCUCACACAACUUUUCACGCCUACUAAGGAGAAUCCUAGAUUUCAAGAUCACUUCCCCAUUGUUAGCACAUGUGUUUAGGUCUUGAGAUCAAACAAACAAUUCAUACGUAUAAGCUACUAGAACACUUAUUUGAGUAAUGUUCAUCCAUGGAUAACCAUAGCAUUACUCCACACAUAUACAUAACUUAAAUGAUAUGGCUUAAGAAACCACACGUACUUAAUCCAAACAAACAGACAAUUGAUUAAGUACAAGAUUUCUUAAUUCCUAAGACAACUCCUAAACUUAUGAGGGAGUUUAGGAGAUCUUGAUGCCAUAUCCUGACACCACUGUGUCACGAUGUUUUCUCCCUCACCUGAGUAUUUCGUGCAAAUUGUUUUCUCGACUUUAGGUGAAAGUAAGGUGUUCAGUCUCGUCUUGAAAUCUUCAUCAUGAUAACAACCAAUAUAAACACUAAUAAGAAUACUUGAUAAUUACAAUUCUUAUAUAGUGACACUUUAUGAAAAAACUUAAUUUUUAAUCUAAUAUAGAUUUAAUCACUUUCAUCCAUCCGAUUCAAGAUUAAGUAUUCUUGAAUCAUCAUUUAUCAUUUAAAGUCUUAAAAUAAAAAUAAUACUUUAAAAUAAAACUUUAACAAAACUUGUACUUUUGAAGUAAGACACUCUUACUAAGAACAACAUCUUAAAGUAAGAUUAUUAAGUUAAACUUACAUUUUUAAAGUAAGCUAACUUAAAUAAAAAUCAAUACUUUAAUUAAGACUUUUUAAGUCACACUUACCACUUCAAGGUAAGCUAACUUAGCCAAAGUCGACACUUUUAAAUCAAAACUUUUUAAGUCAAACUUACCACGUUAAAGUAAGCUUAUCUUAACAACGUCCACACUUUAACUAUAUUACUAUCCAAGACUUUAUAACACUUUAAGUUUAUAAAGUCAAGACUUUAAUAAGUCAUCUUUUAUCCCAAAUCAUUACUUUAACUUGUAAAUCAAAGGAUAACAUUUACUAAUUAAACUCUUAACACAUAAUACUUUUUUAACAAGAAGUCAUCAUUUUCCGUAAUAUGGUUCACAACUUCACCAAUGAGCCCAAGGGGUGUCAUCCAACAACAUUUCAUUCUAAGUAAUCACAUGACUUUUUAGUGUUGAUAACACAUUCAUUAAGCAUACUAACAACACUACUUUAACACUUUAAAAUACACUUAAACUCAUAAACUUAAACAUUUUGGAUUUCAAAAAUAGAAAAUAAACUUUUCCUAAACACAUAUAUAGGCCACGAUUUUUAGGCCAAAUGACAAGGACUAGACCUCACCAAAAUAAAAGAACACAUUUAUUGAUCAAUUAUCCGUCAUAAUAUAUCCUAGGAGAAAGAGGUUUAUAAAGGAAAAUUCUAAAAACAUAUGUGACAAAUUAAACAAACAGAACUACCAACAAGGUGUUGGUUUAGUAGUGUAGGCCUCACUUGAUCUCUAAGGCUGAUGGUUUGAUUCCUGUGAGCGACACUUAUUGUGAGAAAUAGCCACAAACCCCAAAAGAGAUUUAUUCCUUAACCAAAAAGGUAAGGGAUAACCUUGAUAGUACAAAAAAAUAAAUAAAACUACUAUCUUGGUUUUUUAAAAGUUAUUUUAGUGUUUUAAAAGGUUUCUUUUUCCAAAUAAGUCCCAUAAAAUUUCUACUUCCAACAAAUAAAUCUUUUCAUUAUGUAAUUAAAAUGGUACACAUGACAAAUGUUGUUACUUAUACUUGGGUUGAAGAAUCAGAAAACUUAUCCCAAACAAAACAAAAUAAGGAGAGAGAAAAAAAAUUAGUUGAAAGAGGAAUGGUGUAGUUUUUUUCCAAUAAAAAUGUGUAAAUACAUAUAGUUCUAGUAAAUUUUAAAGUGUAAUAAUUUGAUAAUUGAGAAAAGUAAACUCAAAAAAUUAUAACAUCUGUAUUACCAAAAAAGAUAAUAAUGUCUCUAUCAUGAUAAUAAAAAUAUUAAAACUAAUAAAUUUGACCUAUAUUAAAUAUUUUUUGAAAUCAUUUUAAACUUUCCCAUGGUUGAAUUCACCCAUUUUCUUGAAGAAUAGCUCUUGAGUCUAAAAAAAUAGAGAGAAAGAAAGUUGGUUGGGUUAGAGGGUUUUGGUUCAGUUUGUAAAGUGCAAUGGUUUCGUUGUCAACAUGGGUUCGAUACAUUGCUCACAAGCUUGAAUACUCCGCCUCUAUCGGCUGGAAGGUUCUUUACUCUUCAAUUCAUACCUUCAUUUCAUUUACCACUUAUACUCUCCAAAACUUGUUUUUUUAUGUUUAAUUAUAAAAACAUUGUUCCUAUCUUUGAGUUUUGGUGUUAAUUGUUAAUUCUAGCUAUGCAAUUUAUAAGAUCCCUGCUCCAAAAUAGAAGAAGAAGAAGAGAAAUGGGAAAAAAAGCUGUUUUUUUUUCACAUAACCCUUGUAAAGUAACUCUAAUCAAAUGUGGUUCUUUUAUUAGGUUCUACAAGUGUUCUCCGCUUUUGCUGCAUUUUAGGGUCAGUUUGUUAUGCUUAAAAAAUGAUUAUAAGAUAUUGUAGAAAAGUGAUUUUACAAAAUAAGGGAUUUUUUGAGAUGCUGAAAACUAUGGAUUCUUGUAAAAGCUGAAUUUCAGCUUCUGCUUUUUUUUUAAAGCCUAACCAAACAAGCUUGUAAAUAUCAUAAGUUGAAUAAAGCUUAAACAAACAUGCCCUUAAACUGCUUUCAUUAAUUUUUUAAUUAAGUUCGUUAAGGUUGUAUUUAUGGGGAGUGUGUGGGUUAUAAGGAGGAAGUGUGAGGGUAGGAUGCAACUCGUAAAGAGGGAAAGUUAGAAGUGAUAUCAUAGUUUGCUUGGUUGUCAAAUGAUAUGAUGUUCUGCAUAUUCUAUUUGCUGUAUUUUAGUUUCCACGUCAUAAUGGGCGGAUCAAGUAAAUGGUUGUCCCUGGAUGUUCUCACUUAGGCAAGCUAAAUAUUUUCGUAACCGAUGAUUCGCCCGUGUUUCCAGAUGCAAGUCGGUAUAUGAAGAUUUUUCACCUCAUGAUUUUUGUGAUUGGAAGUUAGAUUUGCAAAGUAAACUUAAAACUGGUCUGCUUUGAAUUGUUUAACAUGGUAAUGAUACAACAUCCAAGCCUUAGUCCCAUUAGAUGGGGUCGGCAACAUGGUAAUGAUGAUGAGAAAAUAUUAUAAUUUGGGUAUUUAAUAGGGUUCAUCUCAUUAAUGUUCUAACUUCUAACACAUGUGUAGAUUUCCAGAAAUCACUGUGUAGUUUAAAAGGCCAUGCUCGGCAUGGAACCUUGUUGAUGCUUUGUCAAUAGGCUCUCUAGCUUGUAGGUUUGAGAUACGUAAAUAAGAUAUUACUGGAUAGAAGAAUUUUAUAUCUGAUGAAGCUUGUUUUCUUCAAAUCAGGAUCUAAGUAGUUUGAAAUGAAUUGCAUUUGGAGUUUUCAUGGCGUUAGAGUGGAUGGGAUAUUAGAGCUUAAAAGUUUAGAUUCUAUAUUUCCUCCCUUUAUUUCUAUUUAUUAUAAACAAAGUGUAUAAGUCUAAGUGGAACUCUUUAAAAAAGAGAGUUAACUGUAAGUCUAAACUGCGUUGCAUAAGAGGAGGUGAUAAGUAAUAACUGUUUACACACUUGUUUUUUGUGUGUGGGUAAAUCAAGGACUUGUUGUUUUAAUUGGCACUUAUAAAUGUAUGCAAGGUUAUGGCCUUAUGGGAGGUACCCGUGGCUUGAAAACCAGUUUCUUACUCUAUGUGAAUUCUGGCAAGCAUUAGAAAAACAAGGCAUCCCAGUAUUCUAUUUCUAGCUUCCAAGGUUAUGAUUUUAUCUUGAGAAGUUCAAACACUAAUCUUUAUGUUUUAAUUUUGGCUCUCUCCUUCUCUUCAGCUAAAUCUGUUAGAAUAUUAGGGGUGGUAUUGACUUUGGCGGGUUAUUGGGAUGGGGCAUGUACCAGUAGCACACUUGUAUUUGGCCUAGAAUUUUAUUAUAAUUAAUAGGAAUAUUAGGUUAGUGUUUUUAUAUCACAGCUUAAUUAUCAUUCAGGGUCUAAUACAAAUAUAUUCUCUCUUUUGUCCUUCUCCGUAAUGUACUUUGAGCUUAUACUUGGGGUCAUUUGAAGCAUAACUUUGUGAAGAACAUCAUAUAUGAGCUUUGAUAUUAAAGGCGAGGGAACUCUCCUAAGGCCUACCUUUGUGGGUGUUAUAACAUAGAACCUUGAUGUAAAAUGUUUAGAAUAAUAGGCAAGUUAUCUACUAAGCAGAGGCAUAUGAAGUAAUAUUUUUCUUUGUAGUUUAAGUUCUACAAUUGUACAGGUUUUACCUGCUUUUCCUCUAUUCUGUGGCUGUGUAUCACAUUGUUAGCAGUAGCACUUAAAAGCCUCUCCUUUAAAGUAUUUUCUGACUGAUUCAGUGUUGUCAUGUGAAACAGAACUAUACAGGAGGUCAAAUCACAGACACACAGCUAGGUGAUGCUGUUUGGAAGAACCUUUUUCAAGGAAAGUUAACAUACAUGCACUGGAAUAAAGGAGAGGAGAUGGCCCCUACCAUUGCUGGAAAAGCAGUAACUCUUGUUCGUAAAAUACCAAUUGCUGAUCCAAAGUAACUAUACUUGUCCAAUUCAGCAUACAUUUUUCUUUAUGAAAAUCUAUUGACUGCUAUUGCAAGUUGUUUGAUAUGGGUCAUCCUAGGUAGUCAAUAGCACGCUAUAGCGCCGCAAUAGCGGACUGUAGCAGUAUUUCGACCAUUACCCGCAACGCCAUAGUGGAUAGCGGUGCAGAUGGCUGUAGCACCUGUAGCAGGUCAAAUAGCGGCAAAAUUGCAGGGAAAAUAGCGGAUCAUGACCCGCUACAUGUUUUAUUGCGAGUGGAACCCUAACUUUAUAGAAGAAAAGUAUUUUUUGCUCCUCUUUUUAAUAGGUGGCUGGUUUUUCACUAGGGUUUUAGGUAAUUUAACCUCCCAUUCUUUCCCUUCUACUUAACACAUUGAUUUUCCUAGGCCAUGUGAUUUUUAAUUGGUUAUACCUUUCUUCUUCCAAAUUCCAGUUCACAUGUUCAAUUGCUUACAUGUUCUUCAUCAGCAUAGAACAAAAUUGCAAGGCUUCCUAAUUUACGAUCAUUCUCCAUCUUUUCUUAAAAGAAAAUUCUUGGUCCCUGAUUGUUUGCCCUAUCAUCUCUUUAUUGAUUCUCUUAUUAACCUGAUUGAACCCAAUUGACAUCAUCUUCGUGUGGUUCAAUUUCGUGAGAUACAAUUCUGUUAUGGCAUCCAACUUUGAUCAACUCUAGAACCUUUAAUACUUUUUUCUUGAUUAUUAAUUAGGAAUGUGUCUUUAAUAUGAUUAAUUUUAGUAUUUAUAUAUGUAGGCUAUAAACUACUUAUAUAUAUAUUUUUUUCUUAGCUGUAGCGGUUGUCCCGCUAUCCCGCUAUAGUGUUUUUGGGGUCGGCCGCUAUGCUCUGCUAUCCGGGACUGCCGUUUUUUUACUACUAGACCAAUAGACCAUCAUUGUGAACUACAGUGAUAUAGAAUUCACACUUGAAGCAGAGUUACUUACCAAUUUCAAUAUCUUUUAUGGUGUGUCUGUGUAUUAUUUAGGAGACACCAUUUUCUGUGUAUAAUUUUUUUGGUUAAAUUAGAGUUUGCCCGUUGUGGUUUGAUUUCACAAAUGAAUCACCUGUUUUUUUAUUUCUGCUACCCACUUUAUCCAAAUGACAUUGAAUCAUAAUUUUUAUAAUAAUGAAUAAUAAAUGAUUUGCAAUGACUUAUGCAUUAAAGUAGGGACCUUCUUAGCUUAAUUGCAUAUUUUUGUAUGCUAUAUCAGCUCAACAUAAUCUCCAUCAUAAAAAAUAAUUUUGGCUGAAUGUUUCAAUCUCUGUUAUAAUCCAGAUCACUUAUGAAAGUGGUAGCUAUUCUUUCGUUCAUUUUUCAUUGUUAUGCAGUAAUAUAUUAUUUUCUUGGUUUGUACCUUUUCCAUUUCCACUGUUUCGUUAGUUUUUUUUAAGCGCAUACUUGAUAUCACGAUUCACGCAUUAGGGUGUGCCUUGGUGCAAUGGUGCUAUUGGCGGAAACCACCUUUCUGCUCAUGCAGUAAGAAAUAAAGUUUAUUCAUCUACUCCUCGUCAAACCCCACAAAUAUUCUUGUGUGCUAGGCUGCCGUUUUUAGUCAGUAAUGUGAUGCUAUGAGGAACUACGUGUAAUGUUGGUUCAGGUCCCUUUCUGUGUUCAGAUAGAUAAGUGGCUCCUCGAGGUAGGUAUCUAAGAUUUUUGCUGUCCAAGUAAUUGUUCUUCAAUGGUUGGGCCAAUGAUUUAAAUUGCGAUCACGACUACUGUGAUUGCGGUCACUGCAGUACGCAUUGUGGACGUUGCGGUGUGAAAUUUUUUAUGAUUAAAAAAUUGUUUUGAAUUUGAUGCGGCCCAAAUGCGAUAUAAUGUGAUUGUAUUGCAGCUGCAUCAUUGUAAUUCGCUGUCACACCUCAGUUGCGGGGUGAUGCGGUUGCUGAGAUCACCACGAUCACAAUGUUGCGGCCACAUCUGGUGAUACAUUUCACAAUUUGAUACAAUUGGUUGUGCAAAUAUACAGUAAUUGUGUCUACAGUUUCUGACCUGCAUUUGUUCCACAGAAGUUAGUAAGAGAUUGACUGACAAUUGAUGAUUUCACCCGGAGAUAAUUACUUAGUGCAUGCACAUUUCUGUUAUUUGUUAGUGAUAUACAUUUUCUUUGACAGGACUGUUUUUGUAGGAGAUGUUGUAGUGUUGAAGGACCCCGAGAAGGCAGAUAACUUCCUAGUCAGAAGAUUAACUGCAGUUGAGGGUUAUGAAAUGGUUUCUACGGAUGAGAAGGAUGAACCCUUUGUUCUUGAGAAGGAGCAAUGCUGGGUAGCGUCUGACAAUGAAAAUUUGAAAGCCAAGGUAUAAACUGCUUACUUUUCUUGUAAAGUAAUUGUUAUAUUUGCAUUUCCAAUUCACUAUUACCUAUAUUCUAUCAGUAGAUGGAUCAUUAUGCAUCUCUGCCACAAUUUAAAGUGCUAUUAUUGUAUUAUUGUUGGAAUAGAAAUUUAAGAUUAUAAUAUCAUGCAAUAAAGCAAGUGGUUCUUAUCGAUAUAAUAUCAUUCAAAGCGAUCACAUACGUGUAAUUGCUUAGAAUUUUUGAAAUUUAGUGUGUUAGGUUCACAUGAGAACUAGCUAGAAUUCAACGGUUUAAUUGGUUAAAAUCUAUAGAAUUACUAGAUGGUGCUAGCCAAUUCUUACACAUGUAUCAACAGAUCCUGUCAAUGUGACUUGGACAUCGGUUUUCAGCUAAACCCCCCUUUUAUCAAGUCAGAGUCAUAGAAAUGAAAUAGACCACAGCUUGGCAUGGCAAUUCUGCAAAGCAUUUUAGAAUUCAGUUUACAACAAUUAUGUUGCUAUAGGUGUAUGAGCUUGUGACUUGGGUUUCUCAAGUAGAAAUGUUUAAUUCACUUAUUUCUGUCAUAAUCUUUAUGAAGAAUGCUAGCAACACACUUUUUAAUGCAGGCUUUGUUAUUGGGUCGAAUUUAUGUGGCCCGCUAAAUCAUAUGGUUCCACUUUCAAUUUAGUGAGUCCACAUGAAUUCCGCGAUUUACAAAGUGCGUGUUGAAAAGAGUGUGUGUUAGCAUUUCUCUAAACUUUACUGUUUUGAGUCGUUAGUAAUACAAAAAUAGCUUCUUCUUAAACAGUAAAAAAUAGCUGUAACAGUAACAGAAAACCUUUUUAAGUGAUAAUUGAGCAUAUAAUUAAUUUUGAACCUUGUAUUAAGUAUCUCUAAGCUUUGAAGUGAAUGUUUCCAGAAAGUCUAGUAGGAUCUGCUGUAAUAUUUUGGCUAUGCUUUUGACUGCUCAGUCGCUUGUAGAACAAGUAAUAAUUCCUUUGCUUAACGACCCCAAUCCAAAUGGCAGGAAGCAAAUGAUAGUCGAAAAUUUGGUCCAGUUCAGAUGACAGACAUUGUAGGCAGAGUCAUAUAUUGCCUGCGAAAUGCCGUAGACCAUGGCCGUGUAGAGAACAGGUAAACUAAAUUUCCGACGCAUAAUUUAUUAUGCACAUAUUGUUUUGUUUUUUAUUGAUAUAUUCUUCUUCUUUGCAGUGAUUUCAGCAUGCAAAAGGAUUCACCAGUGUUGGAAGUGGAACUUGAUGUUGAUGAGAUGGUAAAGAGUCAGAAAGACUAAAACAUAUGCCCUCAGAAAAAACUAAUUUGUUCAUUUUAAGCAUGCUCUGAUUUGUUCUUGCUGAUCUUCUUUUUUAAGCACAGAGGAAUAAUAAAAUAUUUGAUUUUUGAGUUGUUGCAAUGGAAUGGUGUUGUUGUUAUGGGAAUGUCCUUAGAUAAGUCUGUAUAUCAGGCAUUGGCUCUUUCUUUGUAACUGCAAAAUUUGAAGUGGCUCAUGUGUUGAAAAUUGUUGCAAGUUAUUUGGCUCCAUUUGUUGAUGAUGAUAAAAGGCUACAUUUUAGAAAUUAUUGUUUUAGCUAUAUAUACUUUUCUUCCCUGGGUAAAAGUUGUGCCUAGUGCUACUACUAUGCUCUACUACGUUUACGUGUUGAGUUUUGAAGGUGAAUUAAUGGAAAUAGAAGGUUUGGGGGCCAUGAAAUACAUUAGUGAGAUGACUCCGAUCCUCAUUUAUCUUAUUUCCCCUUCAAAAUUUAACUUGCAAACAAAAUCUAAGUGUUCACUUAUUGAACUGUAGAAUGAGUUUGAUCAAGAACGUUUUAAGUGAAUCUUAAUUGAAUCAAAUAAAACUUUCUUCAACUCAUUUCAAUUUAUUUGACUUUCAUUUUAAUGAACUAAAAUUUAUUGUUACUAACCUGCAAUGCAUAAUGCAUUCACAGACUGAAUAAACUCUAAAUGGGACCUCUCUCUAUUCAUCAUUUCUUCAUAAACAUCUGUCCUUUGAUGAGUUAUUGAGAUUAAUGCACCUAAUUUUUUUUGUUAAAGAAAUCAAAAAAUGUUGGUCUCAAACACACAGGUAUGAGUACCCUGGAAUAAAAUAUCAAUAGGGGCGUUAGCAGUUCCGGUUUAAACCACGAAAUUGGUAGAACCGAAUCAAACCAUAAAAUGUGGUUCAGUUCAGUUUUGCGGUUGGGUUUGGUUAUUUAUUUAAGGAACCAUUUAUGUUCGGUUCGGUUCAUGAUUUUAAAAAUUUAUAAAUUGUUAGAACUCAACAGCAUAUUAAGUAAAUAAAUACUAGGGAAUAAUGUUAAAGUGUUGUUUGUAUUCUUCAACCAAUUUUGUGAUUUAAAUUAUCAUUUUUGUUUGCAUUGUAGUGUUAUAAAUGUUACUAAAUUAUUGUUAUAUUAGUGUUAUCUAUAUAACUACUUACUAAAUUGUUAUAUAUGUGCUACUUUCUCAAUAUCUUAUGAUUUAGAACAUAUUUUUUAACUUUCGUGGUAUUAGGUUUGAAAUUAAUAUAUACCAUAAAUUGUUAGACAUGUGUUCUUACAUAUGUUACUACUUACAAUUGUGAAUUGUAAUAUUACAUUUAUUACUAGUAUAUAUAUUACUAUUAUAUAUAUUACUAAAUUGUUAUACAUGUUACUAAUAGUAAAUUAUAUUGUUAUAUAUGUAACUAAUAUAUAUAUUACUAAUUCUGAAUGUACUAUCAUAUAUGUAGUCUUUUAUUUUUUCUUCCUAAAUUACACAAUUUUUAUAUGGGUUACUAACUUAUUAGUUUAAAUUUUUUACACAUUUAUUCCUGAUUUAUAUUUUUUGGAUAAAUAAUAUGAGUGUUUUUCUUUUUAUGGACAAACAAUGUUUCUUAUAAUAUAUUUUUAAUUUUUAAUUGAUACAAUACUUUUUUUAUAUAGAAAAUCGUGGAACCGAACCAUUUAUGAGCGUUUCGGUACCAUAAUAAAAUUUAUAGUUGAUUGAGGUGUAUUAAACUAUUUCUUUAUGUUCAAUUCAGUCACCAAAUUAAACCAAAAACCGAACUUUUAUGUUCCUAACUAUUUACCUAUUUUUAUGUUGUAGUUAAUAUAAUAAUUUUAAUGUUUAAGUAUGUUUUUAGUAUCUAAAAAACAAUUGGCACCCUACAUGGUGCUUUAAUUUUAUAUUUUCUUUUUAUUUCUUAUUUUUAGUGUUUUUGGGCAUCAACAACCAACAAUCAUCUAUCUGGAAAACCAAAGAUCUAAUUGAUUAUAGAUGCUGUUGACAAUCUUUGUAGGAUUGAUAGUUGAAGUUGGAGAUGUUAUUACCAUUGCUAUUGUUCAACCCUCUCACCAUAGUCAUUCACCACACAUUGUCCUUCUCACCUUUGAAUCAAUUCUACAAUCCCAUAAAACAUCGUUGGAACCCAUGUACAUGAACAAGUCACAUAUUCCCAUGGCCUUGGCAUGAAUAUUAUAGUGCAGUAAGUAUAGAAAAUGUCAACAUAAACCUUUAAUUAUGUCGUUACACUCUCCAACUCUUCAUGUCCACAAUCUAUGUUCUGCUGCAUUGGAAUUCUUUUCCCUUCAAAAUGUCAAGACAAUUUAGAAGAUUACAUGGAAGUUUUUAACUGCGAUGACGAGAGCCAUAGUGCAUUACAUUGAGAAAAGAAAAGGAUGUAUGCAUAACAAAUUUUUAUAUUGUGAACGUAUCAUUUAUAUUCUUAUAAAAGUUAAAUAAUGUUUUUUAAGUCAUGAGAAAAAUGACUUCAUAAUAUAAGAGUUUUAUAUAUUAUUACUAUAUCAUCUAUCAUUCAUAUAUUUAAUUAUCAUUGAUAUAAAUAAAUGAUAUAUUGAUUAUAUAUAGAUUUUUACAAUGAAAAUCUAUUCUUAAGUUCAUAACAUUUCCAUUCUUAGUUCGGUUCAACGUAUUAUUUUAUAUCAUUCUUAUUUAUAUUUGAGUAUCACAAUUUAUCCAUAAGUUUUUUAUUUUAUAAUAACAAACGAUUUCUCUGUCUUUUUUUUGUGCUUUCCAAACCCACAUUUUCUUAUUUAGAAUAAACACAAGAUAUUUCUUGUACAAAUAAUAUUACAUAUUCUUAAAAAAAUAAUAAUAGCGAAUGAGAGGAUAAUAUUUUAUUUAAAUAAGAAUGGAUUAUUAUCUAUGAUCUAAUUCCUAAUUUUUUUGGUAUCAUGAAAGUAUUCACUUUUGGAUAAUAAACUAAUCCAUUCCAAAAUAUAUAUUUGUCCUCUUAAUAAAUGUUAUUUUCAAUAAUCAAACCAUUAAUAUUUGGAUUAUCUUAAAGAUCUAGCGAACCUUACAUUAGUAAACUAGUUCUAAUCCCAAUUUGUUAAGGUUAGUCAAAUUCCAAACAAACUCGUUUGGAAAGGAAAUUGAUGUUGGCGAAAAUAUCCCUUAUGAUGGGUCCACCAUCUUUCUAACAGAUACACACUGAUAAGCGAAACAGUAAGAAGCUAUUGAGUCUCACUCACUGUUACUUCCUCAGUCUCACUAUGUCGCAAACGCCGCAUCUCGUCGUCGCUAAUAACGUCGGUAAGUCACUCUCUCCUAUUAUUCUCUCAUCCUCUAUGCUUUGUGAUUAUUCUCCUUCUUUUUUUCCCCAUAAACUUAAUGGAACACACAAUAACCUUAACCACUUAAUACUAAAUAAAUAGCUGCUCCAUUUUCAAAAAUCUACCGUGUCUCUUUUUUCAUUUACUUACUUUUGUAUUGAACACUAGGGUUUUUGCAUUGCAGUGUGUUGCUAAAUUUCCUCUAUUAUUUUUUUAAAUUUUUGUAGCUUUGUGAUAGAAAGCUUCUUGCUUUAUGAGUUUUUUUAAUGGUUUUGUUUUUUCCCUGCAUUUUUGUUAGCUCUAUGUGGGAACUAAUGGUUUGAGAGAGAUAGAAUAUUGUUUUCAUAUAUGAGGUUUUGGUGUUUCUAUUGCCUGUAACGUAUUUGAUGAAAUGCCAGUGUUAAACUGUAGUAGUUGUUGGACAUCUAGUAGUAAAAAAUCGGCAGUCCCAGAUAGCGGCCAACCCCAAAAAUACUAUAGCGGGAUAGCGGGUAGCGGGACAACCACUACAACUAAGAAAAAAAAAUAUAUAAGUAGUUUAUAGCCUACAUAUAUAAAUACUAAAAUUAAUCAUAUUAAAGACACAUUCCUAAUUAAUAAUCAAGAAAAAAGUAUUAAAGGUUCUAGAGCUAAUCAAAGUUGGAUGCCAUAACAGAAUUGUAUCUCACAAAAUUGAACCACACGAAGAUGAUGUCAAUUGGGUUAAAUCAGUUUAAUAAGAGAAUCAAUAAGGAGAUGAUAGGGCAAACAAUCAGGGACCAAGAAUUUUCUUUUAAGAAAAGAUGGAGAAUGAUCGUAAAUUAGGAAGCCUUGCAAUUUUGUUCUAUGCUGAUGAAGAACAUGUAAGCAAUUGAACAUGUGAACUGGAAUUUGGAAGAAGAAAGGUAUAACCAAUUAAAAAUCACAUGGCCUAGGAAAAUCAAUGUGUUAAGUAGAAGGGAAAGAAUGGGAGGUUAAAUUACCUAAAACCCUAGUGAAAAACCAGCCACCUAUUAAAAAGAGGAGCAAAAAAUACUUUUCUUCUAUAAAGUUAGGGUUCCACUCGCAAUAAAACAUGUAGCGGGUCAUGAUCCGCUAUUUUCCCUGCAAUUUUGCCGCUAUUUGACCUGCUACAGGUGCUACAGCCAUCUGCACCGCUAUCCACUAUGGCGUUGCGGGUAAUGGUCGAAGCACUGCUACAGUCCGCUAUUGCGGCGCUAUAGCGUGCUAUUGACUACCUAGGUUGGACACUUUCAUUAUUAAAGGAAGUACUCUUCUCCGAAACUGCCUUGGGAUUUCUUCUUUCUGAAUACUUUCGUUAUGUUUGUUUUGAGUUUUGACAAUGUUUGGAUUUUCUAUGUGAUUCCUUCCCUCCUGCUUAUUGCUAUUGUUCAAUUCAAAAUGUGGUAAAUAAAAUUGGAUGGUCAUUAUGCUUAUUUUAAGUUGUAUUAGACAAUGGAUUGUAAUGUUGUAUGUUGUUGAUCAGGAUUCUUUACCUUUAGAAAGGUUCUCACCAAACUGAAAUAAUGGAUUUUUUUUAUUCUGUUUUUCUUUUGUGAUUGAAACAGUUACUGUAUUUUCGGUCAAUAGGUUUUAUCUGCAAGCUGCUUCUAGAAUAGUCUUAAGUCAUCAUGACUAUAGCGUUAUUAGUAUGUUCUUAAGCUGGUUUUUUUAUGGCUGGGUUCCCAUUAUUAGUCUUCUCACUUUGAUGCUUAUUAUCCGUAAAUUCAGAGGUUUGAGUACGUGGUGCCUUGUGUAGGGUUUCUCUUGCAGCCUUGUUUUGUGUCAUUUACUGUCGUUGUUUAUUUUUCAUUUCUCAUAGACUCAUACUUUACCUUCCUCUUUGUGGGUGUUUGUUGAAUUGGUUUCAAUGAUAUUGCAGGUUGUGGAAUGUCAGAAGUAAGGUGUCUCCCAUGUUCAGGCGUUUCUGGAAGGACAACUGCUAUAUAUUCUUGCUCUUCUCUGAGUCAUUACAGCAUUCAUUCACAUGUCAAAAUUAGAGGGCUAAAGUGUGCUUCUGCGGGGGCAUCUUUUGUGUGCGAAGCAAGGAAGAAUCCAGAUUUCUCAAGGCAAAACAAGCAUGGGUCCUCCAGAAGCAGGAACAGGCACAAUGAAAGUAGAGAUAGCUUUGAGAACUUCGAAGAAGAUAUGUUGUCUUUGAAAAACGGACCAUUGGUAUCACUUUCUACUGCUGGAAAAUCCCAGGCAACUGCAGCCCCUGGACCUAGAGAGAAGGAGAUUGUUGAGCUAUUUAGGAAGGUUCAAGCUAAGCUGCGUGAGAGAGCUGCUACCAAGGAAGAAAAGAAGGUUGAAACCCCCCAAGGACGUGGUAAAGAGAAUGGUACUGUUGAUUCCCUCCUCAAGCUACUGAAGAAACACUCAAAUGAGCAACAAAAGAAAAGCAGUGGAGGAGGCAGAGGGAAAGAUUUUAGUUUGGACGGGUCGCAAGAAAGUAGUCAAUAUGAUGGUGGACGAAGCACUAAAUUUUCCAAUUUGGAUAAUGCUCCAAAGGAUAACUCCCGAGAAUCCAGCUUCUCAUCUGUAACUAGGCCUCGGUCAAGUUUCCAACGAAGGUCUCCUGUUCCUCGUGUAAAACACCAGUCUGUCUCUUAUAAUGAGGAAGAUACUAAUGUAGUGCCACCAAGUAGUGAGGUUAGAGUAAACAAUCAUGAUCAGAGAGAUCUGAAGCUUGAUCAUAAGGUGGAGCCUAGUUCUGAACUAAAUCUUGAUCAUGAGUUAGAGCCUGAUUCUGAACCAGAUCUUGAUCUUGAAUCGGAGAACGACUCUGAACCAGAUCUUGUUCCAAAGGACAACCUGUUCUUCCCAGAUAUCCCAAUUGCUGAGUUGACAGAUAAUGAUUCUCAUGAUUCUGAACAAACAUAUGAGGAGGAACAUGCAGAGGAACAGCUAGUGGUUCAAAAUGAGGAUUUGAGUGCACUGAAGCUGUCUGAAUUGCGGGCACUUGCGAAGUCUCGUGGCCUAAAAGGGUUCUCAAAAAUGAAGAAGGAUGAUCUUAGGGAGUUGCUAACUGGGAAUUGAUUCUGAUCAACAAUUUGCCAGACAAGCAACAACAGACAACACAUGUCAGACUAUAAAAUAGAUGUUUCUUUUCUGUUUUUACCCUUCAUUCUAUUUGGUGUUUUGUAUUUUUUCCGAAGUCUAAUGCUUCUAACUAGACGAGUUUUAUACAUUUGGACAUCAUUCUUUGAAUCCUUCUUUAUUUUAAAUAUCCAUUCACAACUAAUAAGUUUUAUUCUUUCAUUCAAGAAGAUCCCAAACUUUAAUAUCAUGUAUAGAUUUCAUCUCAUUCUUCCCGACAUUAAUUCACUUAUAAAAGUUAGAACUAGGCAUAAUUUGAUAGAAAUUGACUGGUUCAUCAUCUAUUAAACUGAUGUCAUUUUCAUGUUUUCCAAGAAACACAAUAUAAACAUUUGGGGUUGCAUUUCUCCUCUUUAGUACAUCUCAUUCACUACACACUCACUUCCACUUCUUGAGGUUGUUUAGGUUGCUCUCUAAGUACUUUAGGGGAACCUUAUUGUUAUCUUGUUUUAUAAUAUUACCGAUAACAAUAGUAUAAAAAUUAUAUUCUAUUAACGGAGUUGUGUCUUGAAUGAUAAUAGGUACAAUGGCUCGAUCACUAUUAAUAACAAAUUCUUAUUUAAAGACAACAUUUUUUAUGUUAUCUUUGAAAGUGCAAAGUGUCAAGGAUAGCACUAGCAUAUCUUUGCCUAUGUUUUGAUGAAGAUAAGAUUCUAACAAAGCUUGAAGAUGACUCAACAAUCAACAUGCAUUAUGCUCAUUUGGUCAUAUUUAGACUAGGAUGUAAAUUGAGUCUAAAAUCUAAGUAGUCUGGGAUGUGUGCAGUAGUAAGUGAGUAUAGGUUAGGUGAACCUAGGUGCAAGUCUCUUAAGUCAUCUUAAUUGUCACAUCAUAUUCAUGAAACAUAUCGUCUAGUUAAUUGUAUGUUCAUGCAUCUAUCAUACAUGUUAUAUGUACAUAUUAGGCAUAAUAUAAUUGGUAAAACAUGUAUAUAUAUUGUGCAUAACAUACGAGAAGUUUACCAUUUGAAACAUAUGCAUGUUCUAGUUAAUCGAUUAACGUGGUAACUUAAUCGAUUAACUCAACUGUUUUUCUUUUAAAUGUGUGUUUUCUGUUUGAACUAAAUUCUGUGUCAUUCUGUUGCCCCAUUAAUUGAUUAAAGAGAAGCCUUAAUCGAUUAACUAGUCUGUUAUUUGUUAUAACUAAAAUCUGUUUUAACUAUUUAACUGUUUUGCAACGAAUGUAACCGCCUAUUCUCUAUGCUAUAAAUACAAGGCAUUGUUCAGAAAACCACAGCAUUGCAUUCUAUUGUAUAGGGUUGUUUAGAGAGCAUUUUGCAUACGUGUUUUACUGUAUUUUUGCAAGAGAGUUGCAUGCGUGAGAAGAGAGAUUAUGCUGGUUUAAUUGAUGUUAUAUGCUUACUGUUUUUGCAUAAUUCUGUAUCUAUUCUUAUCUUGCUCACAUGCUCAUGCAUUAGAUAUUGUUAGAGAGAAAUUAUCUGUAUACUGAUAUUGAUUAACUCAUUUGAAUCUUGAUGGCUUAAGUGGUUAGUAAAAGGGUUAAUCUUUGAGUCUUUAUCUUGUCNNNNNNNNNNNNNNNNNNNNNNNNNNNNNNNNNNNNNNNNNNNNNNNNNNNNNNNNNNNNNNNNNNNNNNNNNNNNNNNNNNNNNNNNNNNNNNNNNNNNAGGGUAGAGUCAAACCAAGGAUUUAGAGGUCCUAGAUUUCAAGAAGGGAGCGUCCUAUGUGCUUGUAAUUGAAUUGGUAUUUGUAUCCAUAUUUCAAUAUUGUGAAGAAAGAAAAUCUCCCUGAUCCAGAAGGGAAGGCUUGGAUGUAGUUUAUAGUGAACCGCAAACGAAUUAGGAUAAAAAUCCUUUGUGCACUGUUCUUUCUCUCUUUAUCUUCUUUAUGUUUCUUGCCAUUAUAAAUUCUUGCCAUUAUCUGUAAUUGAAAAGUUGGAUAUUUGUUUACUAUCAUAUACUUAAUAAUUAUGCGUAAAAAUAUCUGUAUUAUAUAUGUUCAAUUUUGUUUUAAUUACUGUGCCAAUUGCCUGUCUAAUCAUUCUGUUCUGUGCAAUAGUUAAUUGAUUAAACCUUGUUGUUAAUCGAUUAACUGGGCUAUUUCCAGCAGUUGGGUUUUGGUUCAAGAAGCGGUGAUUGAUAACCGCUACACCAAUUCAACCCCCCUUCUAGGUGAUCCUAGGCCACUAAUACCUAACAAGUGGUAUCAGAGCUAGUACGACGUGCUAGCUCAACCGCAUUCGCGUGAUCCGAAGGGAAUUAAAAUGGGUUCCACCAACCCCUUUGGCGGUGAUGGUGCAUCCAUUAACGUCCUCACGUAUUUAGUGGCGAGGGUUACGCCUACUGGAAAGUCCGAAUGAAAAUAUUCAUUGAGGCUAUUGAUUCGGAUAUUUGGGAAUCCGUAAUUAGUGGCCUCUUCGCCCCACUUCACUUAGUGGAUAGCAAACCGAAAGAAAAGCCAAAAACGCUUAUGGACCGAUGAGGAGCGCAAGAAGGUCCAGUUUAACCUUCGCGCCAAAAACAUCAUUACCUCGGCUCUAUCCAACGAUGAAUUCUUUUGGGUAUCUCAAUGUCAAAGUGCCAAGGAAAUGUGGGACACUUUAAAAGUGACUCACGAAGGCACUAGCGAAGUCAAGCGCGCCCGGCUAAACGCGCUAACUCACGAAUACGAAUUAUUUCAUAUGCUACCGAGUGAAUCAAUCGACGAUAUGAAAAAACGAUUCACUCACAUUAUUAACCAUCUUAUUGAUUUAGAUAAGAUGUUCACCAAAGGAGAGCUCGCUAAUAAAGUCUUACGUUGUCUUGACAAUGCAACCUAAAGUAACAGCAAUCAUGGAGUCCAAGGAUCUAGACUACAUGCCUCUGACAACACUCUUUGGAAAGCUUCAGGAGCAUGAGAUGGAGCUUGGGCGUUUGACAAUGCAUGAGGAGUCCGAUCGCAAAAAGAAGGGAAUAUCUCUUAAAGCUUCAACAUCACAACCCAUCGAAGAGAUAGAUAAUGACGACUCCGAUUCAGACAUUGACGAGGAAACGCUAAACCUCCUUGUACGAAAAUUUGGAAAUUUCUUGAAGAAUAAAGGAUGACUUAGACGAUUCCAAAGGAAAAAAGAAAGGACUUAGACGAUUCCAAAAGAAAGAAGCGUGUGAAUCAACAAAGAAAGGCAAGACAAAUGAGCGCUUCACUUGCCAUGAAUGUGGUAAGCCAGGACACAUGAAGUAUCAGUGCCCCACUUACUUAAAAAUAGUUGAUUCAGAGAAGAGCACUCCCCGGGACUUCAAGUCAAAGAAAGCAUACAUCGCCUGGGAUGUACCGGAGGAAGAAACAACAUCAAGCACCUCGGAUGAAGAGGAGACCGCGAAGUUGUGCUUAAUGGCUAUAUCAGAUGAGGCUUGCGGAUUAGGUAGCAAGGAUACUUCAGAUGAGGUAUACUCUGAUACAUCAUUCUCUUCUUCUGAUUCUCCCUCAUAUGAAAUAUUAUAUAGUGCUUAUGAGAUGCAUGAAGAACUUAAAAAAUCAGCAAAGUUAAGUAACGAGAGAAAAAGAAUAAUUUUGCUAAACCAACAAAAAAUAAUUCAACUGCAGAAAGAAUUAGAUGAAUUAAAAUUGGAAACAGAAACAUUAGAUCUAAUUUUUUCCCGUGCUUCACGCGAUUGCUCGAAUAAUAACUUAUGUCAAAAUACUACCUGUGAGUCUUGCGAGGACUUGAAAAACGAAAAUUUUAAACUAAAUGAAAAACUCGCAAAACUCACAAAUAGUAAAAACCAAUUAGACACUUUGCUUAGCAAAACAAGGAACGUUAGUGAUCAUACUGGAUUAGGAUAUGUUCCCCCAUCCCAUAAAAAUAGACCAUAUAGGAGACCUCUAACACGCCAAUAUAGAAAUUCAAAUAAGAAAAAUAGAGUUCCCACAUACCAUUACUGUGGCACAUAUGGCCAUACAUCUAAUUCUUGUUACAUCAGGAAAUAUGGGAUACCCAGUGGCGUUUACACUUAGGUAAGAAAGGGAGAUAACUCCCUAGUCACUAACAAGAAAGGACCGAACAUAAUUUGGGUACCUGAGUCUAGCAGAUGAUCUAUAUUGCAGGUAUGUCUUCGAACACACGGACAAAAUUGGUAUCUUGAUAGCGGCUGUUCGAGACAUAUGACUGGGGACAAGUCGAAAUUCAUAGACUUGUCGUUGAAAGAAAAGGGAUUCGUCAGCUAUGAAGACAACAACAAAGGAAGAAUCUUGGGCACCGAGAAGAUUGGCAACGCAACCCACACAAUAAUCGAGAACGUUCUCUACAUAGAAGGUUUGGAACACAAUUUAUUGAGUAUAAGCCAAUUAUGCGACAAAGGUAAUACUGUGUCUUUUGAUUCUGACUGUUGUAUCAUUUGUGAUGUAUUAUCUAAUAACGUUAAGUCUGUCGGGUAUCGGGUAAAUAAUAUUUAUAUGGUUAAUCUGGAGGAUGUCACUUCUCUUUUCUCAAAAUGUCUUAUUUCAAAAGAAGAUGACAUCUGACUUUGGCAUAGACGCGUCGCUCACAUACAUGUGAAGCAUUUAUAAAAUUUAUCGAAAAAUAAUUUAGUAAUCGGUCUUCCAAAACUUGAUUUUAAAACUCAAGAUUCCUGUGACAUGUGUUAGAAAUGUAAACAAGUCAGGAAUUCAUUUAAUAAAAAGAAUGUGAUAUCCACUACUAGACCAUUGAAGAAUAUACCAUGCAAGUAGAAGAGUCUAUUCAUGUCCAUUUUGACGAAUUUUCUCCAAAAGAGAAGAGAAAGGUCUUUUCUGAUGAUGUUUCAGGUACACUUGAAGAAGUAUCAUACUAGGACAUGGAAGAAAUCCAACAAGAAGCAGAGCAAACACUAGCAGAACAACAUCAGGAAAUGCCUAUCGCGUGAAAAACUAAAAAGGAUCGUCCACUUGAUAAGGUGCUAGGUGAUAUAUCUACGGGAGUGAUAACCCGUAGCUCUUUACGAAACUUUUGCAAUUUUGUUGCAUUCGUGUCACAAUUAGAGCCUAAAACCAUCGAUGAAGCCAUCGAGGAUGUACACUGGGGUAUAGCUAUGCAAGAAGAGCUAAACCAGUUCGAGCGAAACAAUGUGUUGGACUUGGUCCCCAAACCAAAAUAUCAUCCCGUUAUUGGCACCAGAUGGGUCUUCCAAUAAGCUAGAUGAAUCUAGCUUAAUAAUUAGAAAUAAGGCUUGCCUAGUGGCCAAAGGCUACAACCAGAAGGAUGACAUCGAUUAUGAUGAGACCUACAUUCCUGUAGCCAAACUUGAGGCCAUUAGGAUGCUCUUGUCAUUUGCAUCAAUCAUGAACUUCACACUUUUUCAAAUGGAUGUUAAAAGUGCCUUUUUAAAUGGAUAUAUUCAAGAGGAAGUGUACGUAGACCAACCACAAGGGUUUGAAAACUUCAAAUACCCGAACCAUGUAUAUAAACUCAAGAAGACCCUCUAUGGCCUAAAGCAGGCUCCCAGAGCCUAGUACGAUAGAUUGAGUUCGUUCCUUCUAGAAAAAGGGUUCAAAAGAGGUUUGGUCGACACCACUCUAUUCACUCGUAGAUCUGAUAAUCAUUUUUUACUCGUACAAAUAUAUGUUGAUGAUAUUAUCUUUAGAUCUACUAAUGACAUCCUUUAUAAGGAGUUUUCUGAGUUGAUGCAGGGAGAGUUUGAGAUGUCGAUGAUGGGUGAGUUGACCUUCUUUCUUGGACUUCAAAUCAAACAAAUGGAAAGUGGCAUCUUCAUCCAUCAGUCGAAGUAUUACAAGGAAUUAUUGAAGAAUUUCGACAUGGAGCAGUGUAAGGAGGCAUCUACACCUAUGACAUCUGCAUGUUAUCUGGACAGAGAUGAAAAAGGAAGCGAUUGAGGUAAACAAAUAUCGUGGGAUAAUCGGCUCCUUAUUGUAUUUAACUGCUAGCCGCCCCGAUAUUAUGUUUAGUGUUUGUAUGUGUGCUAGGUUUCAAGCUUUGCCAAAAGAAUCGCAUUAUAUUGCUAUAAAAUGUAUCAUAAGAUAUCUAAAAGGAACUAUUCAUAUGAGAUUAUGGUAUCCUAGGGAUGCCUCCCUAUCCUUGGUAGGUUAUUCCGAUUCCGACUUCGCUGGGUGUAAGUUGGAUCAUAAAAGCACUAAAGUUGGAUCGUAAAAGUACUAGUGGGACUUGUCACCUAUUAGGCAGCUCCCUAGUUGCAUGGCACAGCAAAAAGCAAGCGUGCGUUGCUUUGUACAUCGCUGAAGCGGAAUACAUUGUCGCUGGCGUGUGUUGCGCUCAAAUCCUUUGGAUGAAGCAGUAACUUAAGGACUUUGGGCUCAUAUUAGAAAAUAUCCCUAUUUAAUGUGAUAACACGAGUGUCAUUAACCUCUCCAAGAAUCCUGUCUUACAUUCUAGAACUAAGCAUAUUUAAAUAAGACAUCAUUUCUUGUGUAAUCAUGUUCAAAAAGGUGAUUGUAUAGUAGAAUUUGUUGAAACAACUAAACAAUUGGCAGGUAUUUUCACCAAGCCCCUCUCACGAGAUACUUUCUAUGUUCUUCGAAGAGAACUAGGAAUCCUUGAUGAAAAAUAUCUUGAUUAAUAAUUUUUUGUGAUUGCCUUGCAUGAUCCCUUCGAAUGCCUUGUAAAUGAUGAUUGAAUGCUUAAAUAUAUGUGAUAGCUUAAAAUCAAAUUAUCCAAUUAAGUUUGAAAUCCAUGCAUGCUUUUAAAAACAUCCAAAAUGCUGAAACUGAUGCAUUUAAUCGAUUAAGUAAAUCGAUUACCUGGGCCAAAACUUUUAAAACUGGCAUUUUCAACUCAGGUUAAUUGAUUAAGAGAUGCUAUUAAUCGAUUAACGACAUCAAUAUAUUAGAAACAAAAGCGUUUCUGGACAUUUUUCAAAACCCCAUUCAUCCCCUUUUCUCUCAAAUCUUAGAGGAACAAGUCCAACAUCAUCCUAAGCUUCAUCCUAGCCCUAAACUGAAUCACCCCACUGCAUUUUCACUCCAUAAGCCGUCUUCCUCAUCUCCUAUUUCCAAGCAUUUCGUUUUCCCCAAAUUCAAAGCCUUACCUUAGGUUUCCCUCAAGCUUCCUCUAAACCUCCAUCACGAUUCAAUGUUUGAUUGCUAUGGAUAGAGGACGUGGAAAGAGAAUCAAGACAACCGCACAACGUCCACCGCAUGCUCCAAAAGUCGUGCCUCCUCCACAACCACGACAGAACCGCAGGGACCCAUACUACUCAUUAAUUCUACAAGAAACUCGGUUGUAGAAAUUUCAGGGAAGAAAACCCACUUGUAUUCGGUUUGCGAAUGUGACUUGGCUUGCGGAACAGAACUUCAAUUUUCCACAUGGCUUGCAAGCUCAAGGGGCUGUCCCCUUCUUGGAAUUGAAAUGUAAUAUUUACCCUGCUAUAGUUAGGGAGUAUUACGCGAAUUUUAGAUAUAAAGAUGAGAAAUAUUGGUCGAUGGUAACUGGAAAGUUGUUCGAAAUUAAUGAAGAAAUCUUUAUGAUUGUGGGUGAUUUAGCUUUUUCUGGUGCUAGUUUAAGCGAUUGUGGUUGGGCAAACGACAACUCAUUUGACGCUGUUGAAAUGUAUAAGUCGUGUUUGCUUAGACCUCAACUCUAUGUCCAAGGUGAAUUGACCAACUCUAUGAUAAAUUGGCCUGAUGAGAUUUUGAAGGUCAUGUAUAACGUCUCAGCCUCUCAAUCAAGACUACUUCUGUAUAGUAUCUUCAUAUCCCGAGUUAUUGACUAUCUACAUAUUGAUGUUUCAGAUACUAUAGUGAUUUACUGCUUAGACAAGGAUCACUUGAUUGGUGAGAGUUUAAUUCACAAGAUGGACAUCUACAAGAAUGGCAACACCUGACAAUAUAAAGAGGACUUCAACAAUGCUAACCUUGAUCCUUCUGGUGAAGAUGAUCAAGACAUGAACCAAGAGCCAUUUGCUACAACUCAGGGGGAGCAUUCAGGACAUGCAUCACAGGAACCUGCUUUUGGACAAGCUUAUAUGGAUGCUAUGGAACAACGUCUCAACAAUAGGAUGGACCUUCACUUUUAGUCUCUUAAGGAUUCAUAUCAUACGAAUUUGGAACAUUUUGAGGAACGUCAGAAUGCAUAUAUUGACAACCAUUACCAAUCCUUGCGGAAUUAUAUUUAGUCUACUAAUGAUUCUCAGAAUAGAAGAAUGGUUGCUGAGUUCAACAAGUUGAGUGUCUUCAUCAAGGGUGGUUGUAGUUCGUCGAUUCCUGAGAACCAGAAUCCUCUAUCUCAUCCUUAGAUAGGAAACCUUAGAGCCUUAGUUUAGUCUUCCUAGCUAAUGGACCUUGUUGAUCCUUGUUUACUCUUGAGAUCUUAUGUUUUGUAUUGCAUUGCAGUUUUUCUUUGGAUUAUAACAACUCUAUAUCUACUGCUGAACUACUGUUUUACAUUCUGUGGUAAAAUGAUUUCGAAUUAUCGCGUUUAUACUUGAUUGUUAAUUAUGUUGCAUAUAGCACAGUAGUUUGUUUGAAAUGAAUCUUGAUCAUGAUUGGUAUAUGUGAUUAUAUUGAAUGAUUGUGCCUAUUGCAAACUGCUCAAAUAUAUCAAAUGCUUAAUCAUUCCGUGCUUGAUUUGCUUCUGCAUAACCUUUCAUGUCAUUCAAACUGUUCCGUGGCUAUCUGCUGUCAAUUUAAUUGAUUAACGGUUUCACUUAAUCGAUUAAAUGAUGUAAAACUGUGAAUUUGUUCAAGCUUCUUACAGCUGGUUAAUUAGUUACAUAUCCAAGUUUAAUUGAUUAAUUACAGUCUGUCAUAAAUAACUCUCCUAACUUUUGACUAGAAUUGAAUACGUUUAUCUUUUUGAUAAUGUCAAAAGGGGGAGAAAGGUUGCUUGUUGUGUUACAUACAUUUUGCAGGUUGUAGAAUGUUUUUUGUAGGUUGUUCUAUCAAGCUUCCGUACAUAAUUCUGCUUACCUAUAAGGAAGCAAUGCACUUUAACUUUGUUCUUAGAAAAACAGCCUUAGUCAACCAUUAUGCAAAAUCAUUAUCAAGCUUAUCCAUCAACAAUUGAAUAAUUUUGAUGAAGUGUUUGUCAUCAUCAAAAAGGGGAGAUUGAAAGUGAAAAGUGUCAAGGAUAGUACUAGCAUGCCUUUGCCUAUGUUUUGAUGAAGACAAGGUUCUAAUAAAGCUUGAAGAUGGCUCAACAAUCAACAUGCCUUAUGCUCAUUUGGUCAUAUCUAGACUAGGAUGUAAAUUGAGUCUAAAAUCUAAGUAGUCUGGGAUGUAUGCAAUAGUAAGUGAGUAUAGGUUAGGUGAAUUAGUUUCUUAAGCCAUCUUAAUUGUCAUAUCAUAUUCAUGAGACAUAUCAUCUGGUUAAUUGUAUGUUCAUGCAUCUAUCAUACAUGUUAUAUGUGCAUAUUAGGCAUAAUAUAAUUGGUAAAAUAUGUAUAUAUAUUGUGCAUAACAUAUGAUAAGUUUACCAUUUGAAACAUAUGCAUAAAUGUUCCAGUUAAUUGAUUAACGUGGUAACUUAAUCGAUUAACUCAACUGUUUUUCUUUUAAAUUUGUGUUUUCUGUUUGAACUCAAUUCUGUGUCAUUUUGUUGCCCCGUUAAUCGAUUAAAGAGAAGCUUUAAUCGAUUAACUAGUCUGUUAUUUGUUAUAAUUGAAAUCUGUUUUAAUUGUUUAACUGUUUAACUGUUUUCCAACGAAUGUAACCGCCUAUUCUCUAUGCUAUAAAUACAAGGCAUUAUUCAGAAAACAACAACAUUGCAUUCUAUUGUAUACGGCUGUUUAGAGAGCAUUUUGUAUACAUGUUUUACUGUAUUUUUGCAAGAGAGUUGCAUGCGUGAGAAGAGAGAUUAUGCUGGUUUAAUUACUGUUAUAUGCUUACUAUUUUUGCAUGUAUUCAUUCUUAUCUUGCUCACAUGCUCAUGCAUUAGAUAUUGUUAGAGAAAAAUUAUCGGUAUACUGAUAUUGAUUAACUCAUUUGAAUCUUGAUGGCUUAAGAGGUUAGUAAAAGGGUUAAUCUUUGAGUCUUUAUCUUGUCAUAUUUUAAGCAUUAUUGUGCUUAGUAUACCUUGCUGUUUAACGUGUUUUUGUGUUGUCUGGAUUUGUCUCUUGGUGUGAGAUCACCACAGAGAUUGGGGUUCUUCACUAAGGCCUGAUUUGAGGAUAAGAAUCUUGGCUGGGCUAGUUCGUGAGAAAGGUUUUCUCAGAGGCGAAGGGUAGAGUCAAACUAAGAAUUUAGAGGUCCUAGAUUUCAAGAAGGGAGCGUCCUAUGUGCUUGUAAUUGAAUUGGUAUUUGUAUCCAUAUUUCAAUAUUGUGAAGAAAGAAAAUCUCCCUGAACCAGAAGGGGAGGCCUAGAUGUAGUUUGCAGUGGACCACAAACGAACCAGGAUAAAAAUCCUUUGUGCACUGUUCUUUCUCUCUUUAUCUUCUUUAUGUUUCUGGCCAUUAUAAAUUGAAUCUGUAAUUGAAAAGUUGGAUAUUUGUUUAUUAUCAUAUACUUAAUAAUGGUGCGUAAAAAUAUCUGUAUUAUAUCUGUUCAAAUUUGUUUUAAUUAUUGUGCAUAUUGCCUGUCUGAUUAUUCUGUUUUGUGCAAUAGUUAAUCGAUUAAACCUUGCUGUUAAUCGAUUAACUAGGCUGUUUCCAGCAGUUGGGUUUUGGUUCAAGAAGCGGUGAUUGAUAACCGCUACACCUAUUCAACCCCCCUUCUAGGUGUUCCUAGGUCACUGAUACCUAACAACCUUUCAUCUCAGACUCUACAUUCUCAAGAAAUCACACAUUUCUUGUUUUAAUAAAAAUUUUGAAGUGAAAUUAUAAAACUUACAACCUUACGAGUGCUCAUGAUAUCAAACAAAAUAACAAUGUUUCUGAAUUUGUAUUUCUUUCACGUGGCCUAUAAGACGUGCCUUAGCUAAACAACCAUAGACGUGCAAAGGGUCAUGGACAUUUUCUUGACCCAUCAUAUCUAUCAUAGUGUUUACUAUCUCAGUCAGAUUUGACAACCUUAAUUUUCUUUAUGAAUUGAAGUUUAACUUUAACCUUGAAAAAGUCCUAGAGAAAUGACUUGAAAAAGUACAACUUUAAUUGUAAGGAAAGGACCACAUGGAUUUGUAUGUAUAAGUUUUAAGAUAUUCUUAACUAUUUUGAAACCUAAUUUUGUUAUGUUUAUUUAUUUUCCAUCUAGCAUUUAACAUAAACUUCAAAGUCUGAAAAAUCCAACAUAUUAAAAUAUCAUUAGAUACAAGUUUUUGAAUUAUAUAUUUAGAUGUAUGAUCUAAAUGUUUAUGUCAUAGUAUAACUAAAUUCUAAUUUAGUUCUUAAUAACUAGAGUGAUAAAUAUAUGUCAUUUAUGUGUCAUGCAACAUACCUAUAACACUCUUUCUUUAUGUGUCAUGACUUCUUACAAAAUUUGCUCCUAAAUUUCUCAUUACUCUUUCGUUUCUUUUGCUUAGAAGACUCAUCCACAAUACUGUUAUUAUUCUUUCUUUUCUUAUCUUGAGAGGUUGUUGUUGUAAAAAAAUCUUUAAUAAUAGACUUUAAUUGGUGGGAGAUACUUUAUACUUAAAGAUACAUAAUAUAUACUAAAGAUGAUGAACACUAUCAUCAUAUAUAGCCAAGAUCUUUCAUGUCAAAUCAUCAAGAAGAAUAUAGAUAAAACUAAAGCGGAAACGUACCUUAAUAUAUUCAUAGAGAAUAUGGUGAAAGAACUUUAUGUCAUCCUCCUUUAUCAUGUAUCGUUCAACUUCAUAUCAUUUAUCCUUAUAUGCAAAUACAUGCUCAUAGUAGAGCAUGUGGGUUCCAAUUGUAGAUCACCAUUAGUCUUUAGUUCAUCUUCUAAUAGGAUGAAGAGAAUAAAAUUGAUUUUGUUAUAUCUAUAAUUGGGGACCAUAACCCCUUAUUUAUAAGGAAGUGCAUACCCUUCCAUGAAGGGUGAUGCUACUUGAUUUUCUUAUUCCAAUUUUGCCCAUCAUAAAAUAGAAAUAAGACUUUAGAUAUCUACACAAUAAUUUUCAUGACAAUUAUAUCUAUAGUCAUAUACCUUACUUGAAUGGGACCACAUCUACUGUCUCACUUUGUGUACCAUUCCAUGUACCAUCAACUCUGAUUGGUUGAAAAAAAUUAUUUAAGUUAAAAUUUUAAUUAUUAAAUAUUUUUCUAGCCAAUCACAUCUUUUGACACAUGGAGUGACACAAAGCUGCGGGACAACAGAUGUGCUCCCUACUUGAAUUAGAUUACUUUAAUUUGGCUACAUAAGAUAAUGACUCUAAACACAUUUAAACAUUACAUGUGUGACCUAAAAUGCCUUACAAUUGUAGCCAAAUGAACAACUUUAGUCUUGCCCUCUGCAUGCUUUCUUCAUCGUGUAUAUAGUGAGAUAUAAGCUCACUAAGGGACCAUUUAUCAAUCUGAGUGUUAUAUCCCACUUUCAGUUGUAAAAGUAUUAAAAUCAUGUACAAGAGCAAGUUCUAACCAAGUUAUAACUUGAGUGGCUUAAGUUUUAAUAUGUAAUUAGAUAUGUCCACAAUGUGCUCUUUUGUGUUCUAUUUGCCUUUAUACCUUCAUGAAAAUGAAUUUAACUAACAAAUUAUUUAUCCAUGCCUUGUCAUUUUUCAAAAGUAUUGCUCCAUUUCUUCAAAUAAUUUCUUUGCACUUUAACCCUAAAAAUAUAGUCUUAGAAUGCGUCUAGAAUAGAGCCCUUCAUAAUCAUUAGACACAAUGAAUUAGAAGUUUCUCAUUUCUCAAUUAUAACCUCGUCAAUGUUAUAUUUAGUAGGAGUGAGUUUAUCUGUUUGAAAUGCUAAAUCUAAAUUCUAAGAAAUAUGGGUUAUCAAAAUGGCUUCCUUCUAGGCCGAAACAUUUGUCUCAUCCAACAUUGAGAUACUAUUGUGUUAGAAGAUAUUAAUUGUAUAUUAAUUAAAUACCAAAUGAAUAACAACUUCCUAACAAAGCCAAUUGGGUGACAUCAAGUUUAGUCUUUAAACAGAGAGUCGAUUUACAAGUGAUCAAUGAGUCAUAGUAAUUGAGUUUGAUAACCAAAUAUAUAAAGCUUUCCUUUGGGCUUGCUAAGUGGUAGCGACAAACACCUUACGACCAUCACAACUCAACACUACUUAUGUAUGCUAAUUCCUAUCAGACAAUUGUUUUCCUUUAUAUCGAUAUAUACAUUGAAAUAAACAUACAUAAACACCUUAGUAAGUCAUAAGCAAUUAAAAAAUCGCUAGAGUAUAUGUCAUUUUGGCAACUAUACUCUUUUAACCAAUCGAAAUAAAAACAAUACAAACUCAGUAUGAACAAAUUAUUCUAUUAUUUAAUCACAUUAACAUGCAAUAGUACGCAAGAAGUCAUAUAGUGUAUAUGACAAAACAUGUAUAAAUAAUUCAAACAAUAGACCUCCAAUUUAUUACUUAUAUAGUUUUUUCCUUUUCUCAAGUUAAAAGAAUUGGACAUGAUUGCCAAGCUGCUUCAUUUCUCCCCCUAUUCUCUGGGUAUCUUUUUUGAGAGGCUACUUUCUGAAAGUGGUCCUCCCAAGUCAGUGUUGGCAUAUUUGUACAUAUAUACUGUACAAUUUUGUUGUCUAUUAUAAAUUAUAGUACCUUAUACUGUUCUUUCAGUUGUUUUAUUACUACCAUUUAUUCAACCUUGUGUCAAUCUAUAUUUUUAUAAUUUCAUAUUGACCCUUGCAAACCUUACUACUGUUCAUAGGUUAUGUUGCUAAAUGUGUUGGGGAUGGUAUUUUAUAUUAUGAUCAUAUUUAUGGUUGUGUCUCUUUCAUACUGCAGGCUGGCUAGCAACCAAAGCAACUAGGUUCCAGUCUUCUACAGUUACUCAAUAAUAUCAUUAUGGUCUUUCUCAUGUACCCUAUUAUUUUGAGGUGACGGGUGUAAAAUAUGUUUUUUUUAGAUUUUAAGCUACAUUUAUUUUAGGAAUUGGGGAUACAUUUACUCCACGAAUAAGUUAAAAAAAUGUACUCCACAUUUUAGUCACUUAUUCUAUAAAAAUCUAGUGGUUCAAAUCUACAGACUAAUUUAAAUCAUAUGAAUCAUUAGAUUUUCAUAAAAUGAAUGACGAAAAUGUGAAGUAAGUUUUUUUAACUUAAUCAUGGAUUAAGUAUUUAUUAGAUAUGUAAUAUUAUCCCUCUAGAAUUUAAACCUUGAUUUUUUACCUUGUACAAUACAUGCGGAUAACAUCCUACCAACUCAUUGUUGUCUUUUGUUUUGAACUAAUUUUAAGUUUGGUAAAUUAAUAAGGAUUUGAAGAAUAAGAAAGUUGAUUUAUCCAAGGAAAAGCAUAGAUAUAAACUGAUUUACCAAGUUACAAGUUAUUAUUAAUAAAAUAUAGGUGUAAAUAUGUUUUCAAUUGUUGUAAAUAUAACUUUUUUGGGUUCUAGUCCUUAUGAACUUUUAUUCGGUAUUAGUCACUAAAAAUAUAAAAACAAUGUAUUUUAAGUUUUUGAUUAGGGACUAAAAUACAUUUUUAAAAUGAAGGACCCAAAAUGAACAAAAGUAAUAUUGACACUUUAUUGUGAAUUACACUCCAAUUAGGUUUUGAACUUUGACAUUUUGCCUUCAUUUAGUUUUCUUAGUUAUAUCUCUUUAAUCUCUUUUAGGUAGGAAUUCACACAUUACUUAGAAUUGUUAUAGUAGAUAAUGAAAUGUUAUAUAUUAAACUGAAAUUCCUAAUUAUAUAUAUUUUAUCUCAAAAAAUAUGUCAUUUGUUUUGAUUUAUGUUAAUUUUCUUCAUUUCCUUACCUUAAGCUUCAAGCUUCAAUAGCUUCCUUCUUCUUUCUGUUUUAGUUAAAAGGAAUAAAACACUAACUACCCUAACCAAAUUAACUAACCGACUAACAAAAGCUCAACUAUUUUAACAAUUUAUACAAGUGAUAUAUGAGUGACAUUCUUUUUAAAAGAGCUGGUCUUUUUUUUGGUAUUACCAAAUUUAUCUCUUUACCUUUUUUUGUAAGCAUUUAAUCUCUUUCGGGAUUCGUGACUAUCCCUCCUAACAAGUAUUGUUCCCAGAAAUUGAACUCUCGGCCUUGGGGAUCCAGUGAGGCCUUACACCACUAGACCAACGCCUUAUUGGUAAAGAGAUAAUCUGAUUCUGAAGUUAUAACAAGCAUCAAUUAAAGUUUGUUAACUAAUUAUAUUAUUUUUUCUCAUAUUUUUUUCAUGUGUUAUUUGAUUACUUAUCCACCAAUAAUAUCAAUGACUAGGCCUUUGACAAAAAUAAAAAGAUGGAGCUUAAGCUCCUUCCACUAUUCUAAGUGUUUUAAUGCCAUGAUUGUAGCAAAACAUGGCGUCGUUUACGAUACUCACUUUGAAAGAAUGAGUAUCACAUCCUUCUUCAACUUAGACUAAGUUGAAUCAUAAAUUUCCUUUAAAUAAGAUAUAUGAAUGUGAUUUAUUACCCGGCGAUGGAUUUGUAGUGGUUACUGGCCGUUAUGGCAAAUCUAGUCGUGCAGUGAUGGCACGACGGCGAAUGGGUUCUAUUGUGGUGGUUUGUAGGGAUGUUCACGGUCCAUUUGGAUCGAUUUUUAGACAAAAAAUAAUCCGAUCCAAACACAUAAUUAAAAUGCGGUCUGAUCUGGUCUGAUCUAUUUAUAUUAAGAUGUCUGAUUCAAUCCAGUCCAAAUAUUAUAUGCAGUUUUGCUUCGGUUUGGAUCGGUUUUUUUUAAUAAAAUAUUGAAAUUGCAUUUACACUCAAAACUCAUAAAAAUGACUAAAUGUUAAACAUAAAGCAAAACAAAAAUAUUGUUCAAGAACAUUAAAAUGUAUGCAACAAUAGUAUAAGUAAACAACAUCAUAAAAUAGUAACAAAUACUAAGACAAUAAUAAUAAAUGCAAAAAAUGGAAACAACAACAACAAGACAUCAACAAUUACAAGACCACAAAACAACAAGAUAUCAAUAACAAUAAUAUGAGCAUUUGUAACGUAAUUGUAACAUUUAAAAUAUUCCACCGAUGAUUAAUAACAAUAAUACUUUCACAACAAUAAAAUUGAUAAUAAAACACCUAAUCAAAAUCAACACUUGAAUCCUCUUUAUUUGUUUGUGGGAUUAGUUUAAGUUCUAAAAAGUGUAUCAAAUAUAGUCAGUAUAAUUUAAAACAAAUAUAGGUAUAAUUUUGGAGUUGAGACUUAAGAUUAAGUUUGGAAAACACUUAAAAAUAUUGCACACUUAAACUUUACAUAUUAAUUCGGUCUGGUCUGGAUCGGUUUGGAUCCAAUAGGUGAAACUAAAAUUCGGAACGGACCAAUCGGUCUUUAAAAAAUAAGUCCAACACGAUCUAUACACAUUCAAUUUUACGGUUUUGGUCUAUUUUGGAUCGACUUUCGGUUUUAUUUUUGGACUGGUCUGGAUUUGAACACCCCUAGUAGUUGGUUCUAAGAGUGAAAGUUUCUGUUGUAGGGUUGUGAUGGUUUUUGGUUGGUGGAGGUUGAGACUAGUGAUGGCAGGUAUAGAGGGAAAAGACAAUGGCAAUGGUUGGUUGUGGAGUUGGAUUAUGUUGAAUAUAGGAUUUGCGGGUUCAAUGAGAUCACAUUUUUUAUCCAAAAUUUAUGUCACUCUACAUAUUUACUUGCAUUAAUUGAUUGGAAAAAAAAAUAAAUUUUAAUAAUCAAAUGUUUUUCUAACAAAUUAUAACAAAUGACAUAUAAAAUUGUACAAAGUGGAAAAGAAGAUAGAAUAUAUGCCCCUAUAAAAUAUCAAAUCUUUAAAGGGGAUUUUACUAAAUAUGAAUUAACCAACUCUUAUUAUGUGUAAUUACAUCGAUCAGGAUACUGAGUGAAUGAAUCACUAGAUGUACCAAUGUGUUAAUAUCUUAUUAAACAACUAACAAAAAUGUUUUAUUAACAUAAAAUAUUAUAAAUAAGUUGAAAAUAUCAUAAAAAUAUAGGUUUUAUGUUUUAAUCGCAACAAAAACAAACAUGUAACUUUAAAACUUAACUAAACAACUAAAAUUUUGCUACAAAAUAAGUUAACAAAUGACAAAUAAAACAUAAUAAUACAUAACUUGUAUGAUUGUGUAAAACUGACCAUUCCAAUAACUUUCCAUUAGAAAUUCUAAAAGCAUUACUUACAUAUCAAAUGUUUUUUAUCGUAACAUUAUAUGUGUCAUUGUCAUGUAUCAUCCAAAAUUAUAAUGUGCCGUAUUAGCCCCUCAUAUUUUUAUUUGUUCCCUCGUGUCAUUUUUGUGUGGUUUUCACCAUCUAAUUAUACACUUAUACAAAAAUGAUCUUUAUAUUCAUAUUGUUGAUAUAAUAGAAACAAUAGUUGACUAGAAGCAAUUAAAUAAAGAAUAGGAGACAAAUAGAAGAAUAUAAAACAAGAAAAUUUGUUAACAUUAUUUGACCAAUGCCUACGUCCCAAAAGUGUUAAGCAUCUAAUCAUAUGAAUAGUUUACACCCAAAUUAAGUUAUACUAAUUACACUUUGUAACACCGUGAAUUUUCUAUGUAUGUUGUAUUAAUUAUUUAUUUUAAUAAGAAUUAAUUUUAUAAUUUAAUCGGUAAUGAUUUAGGUUAAACUUUAGUUGAGUGUUAGUCUUGUUUUAUGAAUUCCUAUUUUGUGGUAAAUGUUCGUAAUUUUCUGUGACAAAGAGUUUUUGAGCCGCUUCCGGGUCCAAAUUCGCCUGAAUUCGGCCCAAUAACGUGUUUUUGAGUUUUGUAUCUCGGAAUCAAAUUAUAAGUGUGUCAUUGGCUUCAAAAUAUUAUUUCAAGUCAAGAUAGACAUCAAUUUUUUUCCAUAACGUAUUUCUAAAUAUUUUUCACUCCGAAUUCUGUGUUUCGAAGUUUUGACCGUAAACCAAAAUCAGAAGAUUUUUAAUAUCCAGCCGAGUAUUAGACGACAAUAAUCGGGUAUGGUUUAAUCGUGAAUUUUCGCGGAAGAGGUCACUUCACUUUCACAAAUGAAACUUGAUUGGCAAGCAAGCAAAAAUACUCACCUCUUACACAAAAUCUCUUAAACCCUUCAUCUACCCAUUACACAAUUUACUCUCUGAAAACCUUUGGUUUUUCCCGUCCUAAAUCAGAUUCAUUGUCUUUAAAAGAGUUCCCCCUCUAACUUAGAGAAACCCUUGGCAUUUCACUCUUCUUCUUCUUCUUCUUCUUCUUCACUUUGAUUAUCAAAAACUCCAAGGUAAGCCUUCAUUCUUUUUCGUUCUUCAUCUCUUAGAAUCUAACCGUUAAAUGUUUACGAUAUUUUAUUAUGAUGUUUAUACGCAUGUUACGAACAUUUUCAACCGUGGAAAUUUUCUAAUAAUCUUCCUAACUCUUGUUAUACUCAAGAACUCGAAAAAUGGGUUUUCGUGAAUUUAGAAAAUCGUUGCUUUGAAACCAUGAAAUCUUGUUGUUCAUGGGGCUAUUUUAGUGUUUAUAAAUAUGCAUGUUGUUGAUUUUUAUGAAAGAGAAUGAGUAUGAAAUCAAAGGAUGUUUUGAUUUAAAAUGUCAUUUUGAGUAUGAGAUCAACUCCUGUGAAGAAGGUGUUGAAAUGACCAUGAACACGAUGAGAAUUGUGAACGAGACUUUCGAGGAUAAAGGAUGGUUCAAGAAUAUGAUUCUUGUAUCGGAUGGAUAAAAGUCUCAGAUGUUCUUAAAAUAGAUUAACAUAAUGUUUUUACCUUAAAGUUAGGAGGUAAAAGAUUUAACUCGCAAAUCAUUGAUUGAUUUUUGUGUUUAGGUUCGAGGCGUUUGAAGUCGGACAACCUACCCAUCCACUUAAAGGAGAUCAACUACUCUACAACCCAAAGUGAAGGAGAAUACAUCGUGACAUAGUGGUAUCCGAAUAUGACACCUGGAUCUCCCAACUACCUCAAAAGUUGGGAGUUAUAUUUGUUUUUUUUAAUCUCGUACUUAACCAAAUGUUUGCAUGUCUGGAUUAAGUACGGAAGAUUUCUUAAGCUGUAUAUCCUAGGAUAGUUUAAAAUAUCAAGUAUCGUGGUAGUUAAACAUGAAGGAAACCCAUUCGAGAAACUAAAACGCAUAGGGAUCGAAAACAGUGGAGAUUUUUUAUCCGGUUGCCCAAAAGGGCGAUGAAGUAGUCUUGGCAACUGGACACCCCUCGCCUGGGCAAGACAGCCUCGCUUGAGCGAGUGGUUCUCGCAUGGGCGAGGGCCAGGCAGGCAUGCCGUCUAUUCUAGAAAAUUCAGGUCGCUCGGGCAAGAGUAUCUCGCCCGAGCGAGACCUAGAGGGUGAUUUUGACUAGUUUUGGUUGAUUUUUCGCUUGACCGAUAGCAAGAGCCAGACAGGGAAUUGAGUCUGUUUUGAUGCAAUCAUCGCUUGAGCGACAGUCUCUCGCUUGGGCGAGAGACAUACAAUGUUUUUGAUUGCUUUUGAUUGGUUGAUUGCUUAGACAAUAACCCUAACUUGAGUGAGAAGUAUAUUUAAUAAUUGGGAGAGAUCGUGGCUCGAAUGAGGAGCCCGAUGCCCAAAUAAACAAACUUAUACCUAUGUUCUUACGCCUUAUGCGGGCAAGGAUUCCGACGAUGACGUCAUGAGCAAGGCGAUGUCUAGAAAGGAUUACAUUAUACCACACAACGAGAUCAUCUGACCGUAAGAGGCUUGGCCAGGUGGUUGUCCAGGAUAAUUCAGCGAUGGUUCGUAGUGGUAGGGAUGUUAUUCCUAUAAACAUCAUAAUAAAAUCUCGUAAACAUUUAAAAGAAUGAUUUGGGAGAUGUCUUAGGAUGGGACGAUCGAUAUAAAAGAAUGAUUAAACUAUUUAAUCGACUAACCUCGUUUAGUGUGCAUACUCAUUAUGAACAACGAAGUAGUGGAGAGGAAAUUUAUGGGAGACGAACGACUCCCGCGAUGUUGAGAGGGACGGCAAUGGCGGUGAUUGUCAACAAAGUCUUGAGGGCGAGUCUAGGUGAGAAAUGUCCCUUGUACUCCUGGAUGAGGUAUUUUGUAGGAUUGAACAGUUCUCACAGCGCAAACUAGAUGAUCUCUAACAACUCUUGUUUGCAAUCAGGAUCGAUGAGAGGGAUGCCAUAAAAUUGUUUGAUACGACACCGUCUUGAAAUGGACAGUUCUUCAGAACAGAUCGAUCAUAUAUCCUUGCGAGCAAUAUGUUUUUUGGUGCGUUCAAAUCGGCUUGUUAUGGGACCUAUAGUCUCGGUUAUUUCUGAAUAGUUUAUUGGGAGGAUAUUGGUAUAAGGAGUGAUGAAAUAAACAUAACAUUUAUACAUUGAGUUCAUGGAUAUUGAUUCUCAUAGUUUGAGAUAUAAUAUCAUUCAUCAUUUGCAUUUAUGUAUGCAAAAUAUAUUGUGUAUAUUAUGUGUGUCUAUCUGGAUGUGAUAUUUUGUGUAAUUCCACGCCAUCAAUGAAAAAUAUUCAUUAGAUGUCUUACUCCCUUUUCUUUCAAUUUGUCUUUGGUUCGCUUUCUCGUUUAGAUGGACCAUACCGCGAGGAUUCGGAGCUACCGAUUCUCGAUGUCCGAGGAGGGGACAUGUAGUAGUGACGGGCACCGAUACACCUACACAGACCCUUGUGCCUUAGAGUUGGAGAUGGUUUGUGAUGGCUCUACGAUGCGCUACCCCUCACAUCAUGCGGACUUGGAGGCUAUCACUUGCUGCACCAUCCAUUCAGUCUGUGAUUCCUCAUGGACCCACUGCUGCAGAGCCAUUUACUCGUAGACGAAUUUUGGCAACAUGCUUAAUUCCCCACCAUGGAGGAGAGCUGCUCGAUAGACGAUGCUCGAUCUUCAGGUGAUGCAGGAGCGAGAAGUAGGUUACAGGGUUCGUCUAAUGACCCGAAAUAGGAGAUGGAGGCUGAAGAGGAGGAGCUGGAAGACGAAGAGGAGGACCAUGUGGAGUUAGUCUGUAUAUAAGACUCCAUUGAGGUGGUAGACCUCUCCUCCGAUUCUGGGACGGAGGAGGACCCCAAUGAGUGUCCUAGCACACCUGCAAACACUAGAGUUAGUCACUAGCAGCCAUUUAUAUUUCUAUUUUGCUUUUGAAGAGGAUAUCUAGGGUACUUUUAAUGUAUGGAAUAAAUCAGUCUACUUUGUAUAUUUUCAGUUUAGACAAGAUUUAAUUCUGCUUUGUUUUUGUACAAACAUUUUCCGUUGUUUUCAAUAAUGAAUAAUUCCACGAUAUAUUAAGUGACUUUUGGUUACCAUUAGGUAAUGAUUCUUAUCUUUUCCAGAAUUUAAGUUACUUAACGUGAUGUCCCAAAAAUGAAUCGAAUGUAAGGAAAAUAAUUUCCUAUUAUAUUAUUCAAAAAAAAUUAUCCAUUUUUGGGCAAUGUUGUUGGAGUAAUUUUCGGGGCAUUACACACUUAAUCUCAGCCAUUCAUUUUCUUAAAUCCAACGGACAAAAUAGGUGAGUGAAAUAAAUGAUGAGAGAGAAAAAGAUAAAUCUUAAGUAACUUUUAAGUUUAACUCAUUUUGACCAUUGGAUUUAAGAAAAUGGUUGAGUGUAAUUACUGUAACUUAAUUUGGGUGUAAAUGAAUCUCUCAUAUAUAUAUAUACACACCAUGAGCUCAAUGUCUAAAUAAUGUUUCUAAUCGGUGCAUGAUAUAACUUGAAACUUCAUCCUAAUAUAUAGCAUAACAUGACAAAUAUUGCCAUACAUAACAUUAUAAGUAUCACUUAUGUUAGAAUAUAAUUCAAAAUUUUGUUUUGGGUAGUUUGUAAUACUUACUAUAAAUAGGAAGGUGUACCUAACUUAACUAUCAUAACAUUCCAAAAAUAGAAAUCAAUUCAUUUUCACUUCAAGAGCAAGGUUCAAAAACACAACAAAAUCUUCAAACUUUUCGAAGAACAAUGGGGCAAACCGAAUUUCCUGCAAAUCUUCCUAUACUUGAUGAAAAGAAUUGGAAUCGAUGGAGAAUUCAAAUGUCAGCUAUUAUGGGUUUCCAAGAAGUGAGUGAAAUUGUGGAAGAUGGACUUCCAGUUUUGGUAGAUCUGACCAUAGAAGCACAAAGAGUGUUAUACAAAGAGAGCAAAAAAGAAAGAUUGUAAAGUAAUAUUUUUGUUGCAUCAAUGUUUUGAUGAAGCACAUUUUGAGAAGAUUUCAUAGGAAAAAUCAACAAAGUUAGCUUGGGAAAUACUUGAGAAAAGCAAUGAAGGAGAUGAACAAUUGAAGAAGGUGAGACUAUAAACCAUGAGAAGGCAAUAUGAGUUAAUGUAGAUGGAAUCAAGUGAAAGGAUUCCAUAAUUCUUCAAUCGGGUCAUUAUCCAUACAAAAACAAUGAAAUCAAGUGGUGAAAAGAUGAUAGAUUAGACAAUUGUGAAAAAGAUUCUAAGAACUCUCAAUCCCAAGUUUGAUCAUAUAGUGGUGCCAAUUGAAGAAUCUAAGAAGAUUGAGGAACUGAAAGUUAUGGAUCUUCAAGGCUCUCUUGAAGCUCAUGAACAAAGAAUCUUGGAGAUAUCCACAGAGAAAGAUGUUGAUCGGGCAUUGCAAGCUCAUGCCCCAAGAAGAAGAGGCUAUGUCAAUAAGGGUGUGCAAAGGAAAAGAUCAGAGAAGGGGAGGAUACAAGUCUACUCAAUUUUCAGACCAAGAAAGAUCUAAUUCAGAUCCAACUGAAUUCCCAACUAUAAGAGGAGGCUACCAGAAAUGGCAAGGCAAUAAAAAGAGGGUUGAUAGGAAGAAACUAAUAUGCUUCAAUUGUGACAAGAUUGAACAUUUCAGUAGUGAAUGCUAAGCAUCCUCAAGUCAUAAUGAAAAUCAUGGUUAACAUCACAAUAAGGCUUACUUGAUCAAGAAGGAAAGUGUUGAAUGUCAAGAUGAUGAACCAGUUUUGUUGAUGAUGGAAAUAAACAAUGGAUCCAGUAGUGAUGGCAAAUGGUACAUAGACUCUGGGUGCUCAUAUCACAUGACUAGGAACAGAAUUUGGCUGAUAAACUUUGAUGAUCAAAGAAAAAGCAGUGUGAGAUUUGCUUAUAGUAGAACCAUCCAAGCAAAGGGAAAUGGUGAUCUCUUGACCAAUAGAAGAGAUGGUAGGAAGGCACUAAUAUUUGAUGUACUCUAUUUUCCUAACAUCAAGAGUAAUCUUCUUAGUCUAGGACAGCUACUAGAAAAUGUCUUAUUUUUACAAAUGCAUCAAGGAAUAUUGGAGAUAUUUGAUGCCAAGAAUUGCAAGAUAAUGAGAGUUCCUUUGGCAAGAAAUAUGUCCUUUCAAGUAAACCUGAAAACUGUUGAAACUUAGUGUCUAUCAACAACACCCUUAGUAGAAGAUUCUUGGCUAUGGCAUCUAAGACUAGGACAUAUGAAUUUCAGAGACAUAAGCAUGCUAAGAUCCAAAGGCAUGGUCACUAGACUACCACAAAUUCAGAUUCUAAACAUGGUAUGUGAAAACUGCUUAAUUAGAAAAUAACCUAGAUCCUCAUUCAGCUCAUUCACACCCUCUAGAGCAAGUGAACUUUUGCAUGUGAUUUACUCUGAUGUGUGUGGUCCGUUUGAUACUCCAUCAUUAGGAGGAAGUAAGUACUUUGUUACAUUCACAUAUGUGUUGAGCAUAAAAUUAUGGUUGUACUUGAUGAAAGCCAAAAGUGACACAUAUUCAGUGUUCAAAAUAUUGGUAGAGAAACAAUCAGAAAAAUGUAUAAAGGUGCUAAAAACUAAUGGUGGAGGAGAGUUCACUUCAAGAGAAUUUAAAACUUUUUUAAGGAGCAAGGAAUUGUGCAUGAGGUAAGUGCUCCAUACACACCUCGGCACAAUGGAAUUGCAGAAAGGAAAAAUAGAACCAUACUAAACAUGGUGAAGAGCAUGCUAAAAAGUAAGAACCUGCCACACAACGUUUGGGCUGAAGCAUCAUCUACAUCAGCCUACCUAUUGAAUAGGUGCCGAACCAAAAGACUUCAUGGUCAAGUCCCUAAGGAAGCAUGGUCUGGAAUUAAACCCUUAGUGAAGCACUUAAGAAUCUUUAAAUCUCUUUGCUAUAGACCCAUACCAGACCAGAAAAGGAAGAAACUUUAUCAUAAAGGAGAAGUUAUGAUUCUACUUGGCUACAACACUAUAGGAGCCUAUAAACUGUAUAAUCCUGAGACAUAGUAGGUAAUGUUCAGCAAGGAUGUGUACUUUGAUGAGCUAAAUUCAUGGAAAGGUUAGAAAGAAAAUCCUAUCUCUUUGGCUAAGAUGAACAUAGACUAGGAAAUUGAUGGUUCAGUGUUGGAUGAGAGAAACAUGGAUCCGACUGAUGAGCAAUAUAUUACACACUAUUCAUAUUCUUAAUUUAGCAUGAUUGAUGAUUCUUGGUGCCUAAUUGACUUUGUUUCAUAUCGUUUACUGUUUUAGACUUUAUUGGACUAAUAUUCCUAAAAUGAGUUAAUUUGGGAUUAUUUGGCCUGAUUAAAUCUAUUAUCAUUUUCAGAAUAUAUUUGGCACCAAUGGCAUUUUGGGCAUUAUGGAAGUCGAGGAUAUGUGUUGAAGUGAAGAUUGUAUUUUUAAUUUAGNNNNNNNNNNNNNNNNNNNNNNNNNNNNNNNNNNNNNNNNNNNNNNNNNNNNNNNNNNNNNNNNNNNNNNNNNNNNNNNNNNNNNNNNNNNNNNNNNNNNAAGUUAGAAAUUGUUGUUUUGAAAGCAUGCAAUAUUGUUGUUCAUUGGGGCUAUUUUAGUGUUUAAAAUAUAUGCAUGUGUUGAUUUUGAUGAAAAGAUAUGAUGAUGAAAUCAAGGAUGUUUGAUUUAAAAUGUCGUUUUGAUCAUGAGAUCACUCCCUCUAAAAAGGUGUUGAAAUGAUCAUGAACACGAUAGGAAUCGUGAACGAGGCUUUCAAGGAUAAAUGAUAGUUCAAGAAUAUGAAUCUUGGACUGGAUGGAUGAAAUUCUUGGAUGUUUUUAUAAUGAAUUAAAAUAAUAUCUUUACCUUAGAGUUAGCAGGUAAACGAUUUAACUCGCAAAUUACUAAUUGAGUUUUCUGUAUUUAGUUUCGAAGCGUUCAAAGUCGGACAACCUACACAUUCAUGUAAAGGAGAUCAACCGCGCUACAACCCAAGGUGAGGGAGAAUACAUCGUGAUAUAGUGGUUUCCGAAUGUGACACCCGGAUCUCCUAACUACCUCAAAAGUUGGGAGUUAUAUUUGUUUUUUUUAAUCUCGUACUUAACCAAAUGUUUGCAUGUCUGGAUUAAGUACGGAAGAUUUCUUAAGCUGUAUAUCCUAGGAUAGUUUAAAAUAUCAAGUAUCGUGGUAGUUAAACAUGAAGGAAACCCAUUCGAGAAACUAAAACGCAUAGGGAUCGAAAACAGUGGAGAUUUUUUAUCCGGUUGCCCAAAAGGGCGAUGAAGUAGUCUUGGCAACUGGACACCCCUCGCCUGGGCAAGACAGCCUCGCUUGAGCGAGUGGUUCUCGCAUGGGCGAGGGCCAGGCAGGCAUGCCGUCUAUUCUAGAAAAUUCAGGUCGCUCGGGCAAGAGUAUCUCGCCCGAGCGAGACCUAGAGGGUGAUUUUGACUAGUUUUGGUUGAUUUUUCGCUUGACCGAUAGCAAGAGCCAGACAGGGAAUUGAGUCUGUUUUGAUGCAAUCAUCGCUUGAGCGACAGUCUCUCGCUUGGGCGAGAGACAUACAAUGUUUUUGAUUGCUUUUGAUUGGUUGAUUGCUUAGACAAUAACCCUAACUUGAGUGAGAAGUAUAUUUAAUAAUUGGGAGAGAUCGUGGCUCGAAUGAGGAGCCCGAUGCCCAAAUAAACAAACUUAUACCUAUGUUCUUACGCCUUAUGCGGGCAAGGAUUCCGACGAUGACGUCAUGAGCAAGGCGAUGUCUAGAAAGGAUUACAUUAUACCACACAACGAGAUCAUCUGACCGUAAGAGGCUUGGCCAGGUGGUUGUCCAGGAUAAUUCAGCGAUGGUUCGUAGUGGUAGGGAUGUUAUUCCUAUAAACAUCAUAAUAAAAUCUCGUAAACAUUUAAAAGAAUGAUUUGGGAGAUGUCUUAGGAUGGGACGAUCGAUAUAAAAGAAUGAUUAAACUAUUUAAUCGACUAACCUCGUUUAGUGUGCAUACUCAUUAUGAACAACGAAGUAGUGGAGAGGAAAUUUAUGGGAGACGAACGACUCCCGCGAUGUUGAGAGGGACGGCAAUGGCGGUGAUUGUCAACAAAGUCUUGAGGGCGAGUCUAGGUGAGAAAUGUCCCUUGUACUCCUGGAUGAGGUAUUUUGUAGGAUUGAACAGUUCUCACAGCGCAAACUAGAUGAUCUCUAACAACUCUUGUUUGCAAUCAGGAUCGAUGAGAGGGAUGCCAUAAAAUUGUUUGAUACGACACCGUCUUGAAAUGGACAGUUCUUCAGAACAGAUCGAUCAUAUAUCCUUGCGAGCAAUAUGUUUUUUGGUGCGUUCAAAUCGGCUUGUUAUGGGACCUAUAGUCUCGGUUAUUUCUGAAUAGUUUAUUGGGAGGAUAUUGGUAUAAGGAGUGAUGAAAUAAACAUAACAUUUAUACAUUGAGUUCAUGGAUAUUGAUUCUCAUAGUUUGAGAUAUAAUAUCAUUCAUCAUUUGCAUUUAUGUAUGCAAAAUAUAUUGUGUAUAUUAUGUGUGUCUAUCUGGAUGUGAUAUUUUGUGUAAUUCCACGCCAUCAAUGAAAAAUAUUCAUUAGAUGUCUUACUCCCUUUUCUUUCAAUUUGUCUUUGGUUCGCUUUCUCGUUUAGAUGGACCAUACCGCGAGGAUUCGGAGCUACCGAUUCUCGAUGUCCGAGGAGGGGACAUGUAGUAGUGACGGGCACCGAUACACCUACACAGACCCUUGUGCCUUAGAGUUGGAGAUGGUUUGUGAUGGCUCUACGAUGCGCUACCCCUCACAUCAUGCGGACUUGGAGGCUAUCACUUGCUGCACCAUCCAUUCAGUCUGUGAUUCCUCAUGGACCCACUGCUGCAGAGCCAUUUACUCGUAGACGAAUUUUGGCAACAUGCUUAAUUCCCCACCAUGGAGGAGAGCUGCUCGAUAGACGAUGCUCGAUCUUCAGGUGAUGCAGGAGCGAGAAGUAGGUUACAGGGUUCGUCUAAUGACCCGAAAUAGGAGAUGGAGGCUGAAGAGGAGGAGCUGGAAGACGAAGAGGAGGACCAUGUGGAGUUAGUCUGUAUAUAAGACUCCAUUGAGGUGGUAGACCUCUCCUCCGAUUCUGGGACGGAGGAGGACCCCAAUGAGUGUCCUAGCACACCUGCAAACACUAGAGUUAGUCACUAGCAGCCAUUUAUAUUUCUAUUUUGCUUUUGAAGAGGAUAUCUAGGGUACUUUUAAUGUAUGGAAUAAAUCAGUCUACUUUGUAUAUUUUCAGUUUAGACAAGAUUUAAUUCUGCUUUGUUUUUGUACAAACAUUUUCCGUUGUUUUCAAUAAUGAAUAAUUCCACGAUAUAUUAAGUGACUUUUGGUUACCAUUAGGUAAUGAUUCUUAUCUUUUCCAGAAUUUAAGUUACUUAACGUGAUGUCCCAAAAAUGAAUCGAAUGUAAGGAAAAUAAUUUCCUAUUAUAUUAUUCAAAAAAAAUUAUCCAUUUUUGGGCAAUGUUGUUGGAGUAAUUUUCGGGGCAUUACACACUUAAUCUCAGCCAUUCAUUUUCUUAAAUCCAACGGACAAAAUAGGUGAGUGAAAUAAAUGAUGAGAGAGAAAAAGAUAAAUCUUAAGUAACUUUUAAGUUUAACUCAUUUUGACCAUUGGAUUUAAGAAAAUGGUUGAGUGUAAUUACUGUAACUUAAUUUGGGUGUAAAUGAAUCUCUCAUAUAUAUAUAUACACACCAUGAGCUCAAUGUCUAAAUAAUGUUUCUAAUCGGUGCAUGAUAUAACUUGAAACUUCAUCCUAAUAUAUAGCAUAACAUGACAAAUAUUGCCAUACAUAACAUUAUAAGUAUCACUUAUGUUAGAAUAUAAUUCAAAAUUUUGUUUUGGGUAGUUUGUAAUACUUACUAUAAAUAGGAAGGUGUACCUAACUUAACUAUCAUAACAUUCCAAAAAUAGAAAUCAAUUCAUUUUCACUUCAAGAGCAAGGUUCAAAAACACAACAAAAUCUUCAAACUUUUCGAAGAACAAUGGGGCAAACCGAAUUUCCUGCAAAUCUUCCUAUACUUGAUGAAAAGAAUUGGAAUCGAUGGAGAAUUCAAAUGUCAGCUAUUAUGGGUUUCCAAGAAGUGAGUGAAAUUGUGGAAGAUGGACUUCCAGUUUUGGUAGAUCUGACCAUAGAAGCACAAAGAGUGUUAUACAAAGAGAGCAAAAAAGAAAGAUUGUAAAGUAAUAUUUUUGUUGCAUCAAUGUUUUGAUGAAGCACAUUUUGAGAAGAUUUCAUAGGAAAAAUCAACAAAGUUAGCUUGGGAAAUACUUGAGAAAAGCAAUGAAGGAGAUGAACAAUUGAAGAAGGUGAGACUAUAAACCAUGAGAAGGCAAUAUGAGUUAAUGUAGAUGGAAUCAAGUGAAAGGAUUCCAUAAUUCUUCAAUCGGGUCAUUAUCCAUACAAAAACAAUGAAAUCAAGUGGUGAAAAGAUGAUAGAUUAGACAAUUGUGAAAAAGAUUCUAAGAACUCUCAAUCCCAAGUUUGAUCAUAUAGUGGUGCCAAUUGAAGAAUCUAAGAAGAUUGAGGAACUGAAAGUUAUGGAUCUUCAAGGCUCUCUUGAAGCUCAUGAACAAAGAAUCUUGGAGAUAUCCACAGAGAAAGAUGUUGAUCGGGCAUUGCAAGCUCAUGCCCCAAGAAGAAGAGGCUAUGUCAAUAAGGGUGUGCAAAGGAAAAGAUCAGAGAAGGGGAGGAUACAAGUCUACUCAAUUUUCAGACCAAGAAAGAUCUAAUUCAGAUCCAACUGAAUUCCCAACUAUAAGAGGAGGCUACCAGAAAUGGCAAGGCAAUAAAAAGAGGGUUGAUAGGAAGAAACUAAUAUGCUUCAAUUGUGACAAGAUUGAACAUUUCAGUAGUGAAUGCUAAGCAUCCUCAAGUCAUAAUGAAAAUCAUGGUUAACAUCACAAUAAGGCUUACUUGAUCAAGAAGGAAAGUGUUGAAUGUCAAGAUGAUGAACCAGUUUUGUUGAUGAUGGAAAUAAACAAUGGAUCCAGUAGUGAUGGCAAAUGGUACAUAGACUCUGGGUGCUCAUAUCACAUGACUAGGAACAGAAUUUGGCUGAUAAACUUUGAUGAUCAAAGAAAAAGCAGUGUGAGAUUUGCUUAUAGUAGAACCAUCCAAGCAAAGGGAAAUGGUGAUCUCUUGACCAAUAGAAGAGAUGGUAGGAAGGCACUAAUAUUUGAUGUACUCUAUUUUCCUAACAUCAAGAGUAAUCUUCUUAGUCUAGGACAGCUACUAGAAAAUGUCUUAUUUUUACAAAUGCAUCAAGGAAUAUUGGAGAUAUUUGAUGCCAAGAAUUGCAAGAUAAUGAGAGUUCCUUUGGCAAGAAAUAUGUCCUUUCAAGUAAACCUGAAAACUGUUGAAACUUAGUGUCUAUCAACAACACCCUUAGUAGAAGAUUCUUGGCUAUGGCAUCUAAGACUAGGACAUAUGAAUUUCAGAGACAUAAGCAUGCUAAGAUCCAAAGGCAUGGUCACUAGACUACCACAAAUUCAGAUUCUAAACAUGGUAUGUGAAAACUGCUUAAUUAGAAAAUAACCUAGAUCCUCAUUCAGCUCAUUCACACCCUCUAGAGCAAGUGAACUUUUGCAUGUGAUUUACUCUGAUGUGUGUGGUCCGUUUGAUACUCCAUCAUUAGGAGGAAGUAAGUACUUUGUUACAUUCACAUAUGUGUUGAGCAUAAAAUUAUGGUUGUACUUGAUGAAAGCCAAAAGUGACACAUAUUCAGUGUUCAAAAUAUUGGUAGAGAAACAAUCAGAAAAAUGUAUAAAGGUGCUAAAAACUAAUGGUGGAGGAGAGUUCACUUCAAGAGAAUUUAAAACUUUUUUAAGGAGCAAGGAAUUGUGCAUGAGGUAAGUGCUCCAUACACACCUCGGCACAAUGGAAUUGCAGAAAGGAAAAAUAGAACCAUACUAAACAUGGUGAAGAGCAUGCUAAAAAGUAAGAACCUGCCACACAACGUUUGGGCUGAAGCAUCAUCUACAUCAGCCUACCUAUUGAAUAGGUGCCGAACCAAAAGACUUCAUGGUCAAGUCCCUAAGGAAGCAUGGUCUGGAAUUAAACCCUUAGUGAAGCACUUAAGAAUCUUUAAAUCUCUUUGCUAUAGACCCAUACCAGACCAGAAAAGGAAGAAACUUUAUCAUAAAGGAGAAGUUAUGAUUCUACUUGGCUACAACACUAUAGGAGCCUAUAAACUGUAUAAUCCUGAGACAUAGUAGGUAAUGUUCAGCAAGGAUGUGUACUUUGAUGAGCUAAAUUCAUGGAAAGGUUAGAAAGAAAAUCCUAUCUCUUUGGCUAAGAUGAACAUAGACUAGGAAAUUGAUGGUUCAGUGUUGGAUGAGAGAAACAUGGAUCCGACUGAUGAGCAAUAUAUUACACACUAUUCAUAUUCUUAAUUUAGCAUGAUUGAUGAUUCUUGGUGCCUAAUUGACUUUGUUUCAUAUCGUUUACUGUUUUAGACUUUAUUGGACUAAUAUUCCUAAAAUGAGUUAAUUUGGGAUUAUUUGGCCUGAUUAAAUCUAUUAUCAUUUUCAGAAUAUAUUUGGCACCAAUGGCAUUUUGGGCAUUAUGGAAGUCGAGGAUAUGUGUUGAAGUGAAGAUUGUAUUUUUAUUUUAGGAGUUGUUUUUAUUGUUAUUUAGCUUUGGGUCCAUUGUUUAGGCCCAAUUCGGUUAUAUGUGUGUUGGAGGGGUUAUAUUCGGAUUCCCCACUCUAAACACACACACUUCAUUUUUCUUCAUUUUGAAAGAUACACAUUUCCGUUUUCCCCUCUUUUUGUUCUACUAGGGUUUCACUCCUUCUUCAUUUUUUAUUUUCAGUUUGUUCUUCCAUUGUCAUGGAAGGCUAAAUUUCUAGACUAAGUUCCUUUGGUAAUGUAUCACAACUCUUGAGGUUUUGUUAUUAAUGUAUUUUCGGUUUCUUUAUUGUUGAUUUCUUCUAUCUUAUUUCUGAAUAUGGUUUGCUUAAUUCUAUUGCUUAGAAACUGGUUGGUUGAGUUUAUCUUCACUUAGUUGAUUUACUCUCUCUAGUGCAUGAAUACUUACUUCGUGUGAUUUUAUUAAUCGUUUCAUAUUUAUACUGAUUUCUCCUAGUUAGAGGUUUAGGUUCUGGAACUUUGAAUUGAUUAUCGCUUAGUUAAUUGAUUCUCAACAAAUUCAGAAGUUAAUAGUUGGAAUCUGAAAAUAAUCUUUUGAAACCGAGGAUUGAGUUGUGAACAAACGAACCAAAGAGAUUUAGCUAUUUUAUUACAUUGCUUAACUAUUGUUUUUGAAUUUGAUUUAUGUUCAUNNNNNNNNNNNNNNNNNNNNNNNNNNNNNNNNNNNNNNNNNNNNNNNNNNNNNNNNNNNNNNNNNNNNNNNNNNNNNNNNNNNNNNNNNNNNNNNNNNNNGAGUAUAAGGUGUUUGAAGCUUUGCUUGAAAGAUAAUCCUUGGGAAAUGACCUAGGAGUCACUUCCUAGUACUACAGUUUUAAUUGUUAUAUUAUUCGUAUCGGGUACGGCCUCGAUCAAAUUUGGCGCCGCUGCCGGGGAUUAUCGGUUCUUGUCAAAGGUUAUUAGUAUAGUUUAGUGUGUGUCUUAGAAUAAUCAUUUUGUUUGGGUUUCAAAAUCUGCCUUUAGCAUUCACUGUUUGUUGUUUGCUGUCUUGUUUAGUUACUUGCCUGUUGGCUGAUUCAGGUGUAUAUUGGUUAAUAUAGUUGUGGUUAGAAUUUUUGCAUGAAACUUUGUUUCCACACUUCUUUCAUCAAAUAUUGAAUACUAGAUGCAUCAUAGUCAAUCACCUUGUUGCUGGUUGUGAGAUACAAACAAGUAGUGACUAAUUUUAUUGUUGAUUUUCUAUUUUUGGCAUAACUUUGGAACCGUUAAUCAGAAUNNNNNNNNNNNNNNNNNNNNNNNNNNNNNNNNNNNNNNNNNNNNNNNNNNNNNNNNNNNNNNNNNNNNNNNNNNNNNNNNNNNNNNNNNNNNNNNNNNNNAUAUUGAAUACUGGAUGCAUCAUAGUCAAUCACCUUGCUGCUGGUUGUGAGAUACAAACAAUUAGUGACUAGUUUUACUGUUGAUUUUCUAUUUUUGGCAUAACUUUGGAACCGUUAAUCAGAAUUAGACAUAUUAUAUAUGAAUUUGGGGUAGAAAAAUCCAAUGCUUCUUUCUCUAUGCACUGCAUCUAUAGAACCCACCCUGAAAAUCCAAAACGAGUCUGUUUACUAUUUCUUUUUUAUUUUACAAGUUUAUUUUUCCAAUUGUUUUGAUUUUGUUGCAUUUAAUUAAAUUAGUUAGGCUUUGAGUUUUGUCCUAAAAAAUUUUGUGGAUGUUUCCUAUGGUUUUAUAAUUUUAUUGAUGCAAAGUUUUGAUUGAUCACUGAAAUUUAACAUGUAUUUCACUUAUUGUCCUACAUGGUUCUUACGCUACAUUUAGUGCAUGACUAUGGGAAAUCCUAACUCUUUGUAUCCAAUAAAUCCUGAAAUUGAUAGAAUAUUUCAUAGUUUGGUUAGACAAGUUAGGAAUUUAAAUUUAGUUAGUGAGUAUUUUCAUCUUAGUGUUAAUCUACCUGAUAGUGAUACGAUUCUGUUGUUUCUGUGCAUUCUGCUAUUUUUGUGCAUUAUGUUGCAUACUCUGAAAAUAUGGCUGAACCACCUCCAAUCCCACAUGAAAGGACAUUAAUGGAGCUGGCUCCACCUGNNNNNNNNNNNNNNNNNNNNNNNNNNNNNNNNNNNNNNNNNNNNNNNNNNNNNNNNNNNNNNNNNNNNNNNNNNNNNNNNNNNNNNNNNNNNNNNNNNNNGGUUGUAUUACUUGGCCCCUGGUUCUAUUACUAGUUGGGAUGACCUGAAGAGAAUCUUCCUUGAAAAAUUCUUUCUUGCCUCCAGGACCACUACAAUCAGAAAAGAUAUUUCUGGAAUCAGACAACUACAUGCAAAAGGUUUAUAUGAAUAUUGGGGGAGAUUCAAGAGACUAUGUGCAAGUUGCACCCGUAAUCAGAUCUCUAAACAACUCCUCCUGCAAUAUUUCUAUGAAGGUCUGAACAACAUGGAGAGGCAUAUCAUUGAUGCUGCUAGUGGCGAUGCACUUGGAGAUAUGACCCUUUUUGAGGCUAGAGGUUUGAUUGAGAAGAUGUCUUCCAAUUCUAAACAGUUUUGUGCAAGAAGUAGUGAUGCUAUAGUGGUCAGAGGUGUUCAUGAUGUUGGGACAAAUUCGGUGAGGCAAGAUAAACUUGAGAAAAACAAAAUUGACUCCCUUGCUACCUUGGUCACUCAACUUGCCAUGAAUCAGCAGAAACCUCCACUUGCAGCACGAGUUUGUGGCAUUUGCACCGCAAUUGGCCAUUAUGCUGAUGUUUGUCCUUCUCUCUUGGAGCCCAAAACUGGUGACCAUCCUGAGGCAUAUACUGCAAAUAUGUACAACAAUAGACCUCAACAAAAACAACAGAACUAUGAUCCUUCAUCAAGCAUAUACAACCCUGGUUGGAGGAAUCACCCAAAUCUUAGAUGAUCUGAUUCUUCACAGCCUCAUCCAGGGCCGCCAUUUCAGAAUAAUAAUGUUGCACAAAUUAGACCAUAUGUGUCUCCUCCAAUCCAACAGCAGAAGCAACAACAAGUGAAUAGUAAUCCUGCUCCUGCAUCUAGUGAACCUUCAUUAGAAGAAUUGGUGAGGCAAAUGACAUUGCAGAAUAUGCAAUUCCAGCAAGAGACCAGAGCUUCCAUUCAGAGACAAGAGUNNNNNNNNNNNNNNNNNNNNNNNNNNNNNNNNNNNNNNNNNNNNNNNNNNNNNNNNNNNNNNNNNNNNNNNNNNNNNNNNNNNNNNNNNNNNNNNNNNNNUAGAUGAUGUCUUGGUUCGGGUUGGUGAACUUAUUUUUCCUGCUAAUUUUAUAUUCUCGAUAUGGAAGAGAGAUCCUCCCAUAACACAGUUCCUAUCAUUUUGGGGAGGCCAUUUUUGAGAACAGUCCGAACCAAGAUAGAUGUCCAUGCUAGAACAUUAUCUAUGGAGUUUGAUGAUAUUAUGGUCUGGUUUAAUAUUUUUGAUGCUAUGAAUCAUCCAUCUAAGGACCAUUUUAUGUUUCAUAUUGAUUUACUUGAUGAGUUAACUAAUGAGCAUAUAUGUGAUUUUCUUAAUGAUUUUCAUUCUAUGUCAUUGAUAGACUCAUACACUUGUCAUACAUGCACUGAUUCUGAAAUGUGUAAUUAUUAUAUUGAUGAGUUUCUGCAUAUUUCUGUUGAUCCAAAUAUUGUGGAAUCAGAUUGCACUAACCCAAUUGCUGCAGACAUGAUACAACAAUCUGAUUUACUUGUCCAGGUGCAAGCUACAGAAUUAAUAUCUGCUACUUUGGUUCCAUCUGUUUUGAAGGCACCUAUAUUGGAGCUUAAACCUUUGCCUGAAAACCUCAAGUAUGCUUACUUAGAGGAUGAUGAGAAGCUUCCUGUUAUUGUUUCCACCUCCCUUGAUGUUGAUUAAGAGGAUAAAUUGUUGCAAGUGUUGAAGAAGCAUAAGAAGGCAAUUGGUUGGACUUUAGCUGAUAUUCCUAGUAUUAGUCCAUCUAUGUGCAUACAUAGGAUACUCUUGGAAGAUGGAGAUAAACCAGUGAGACAACCACAAAGGAGACUCAAUCCAAUCAUCCUUGAGGUUGUGAAGAAAGAGGUCACAAAGCUUUUACAAGCUGGGAUUAUAUAUCCCAUUUCUGAUAGUCAUUGGGUGAGCCCAUUUCAGGUGGUUCCAAAGAAGACAUAAAUUACAAUGGUGAGGAAUGAGAGAGAUGAGUUGAUUCCUAUUCCUACGAGAGUGUAGAACAGUUGGAGAGUCUGCAUUGGUUAUAGGAGGCUCAACCAAGCAACAAGAAAGGAUCACUUUCCUUUGCCAUUUAUUGAUCAAGUGCUUGAGCGCUUAACAAGUAAAUCUCAUUACUGUUUUCUUGAUGGUUUUUCUGGGUACUUCCAGAUCCAUAUUGCUCUUGAGGAUCGGGAGAAGACCACAUUCACCUGCCCCUUUGGCACUUUUUCCUAUAGAAGAAUGCCUUUUGGCCUAUGCAACGCCCCUGGUACAUUCUAGUGGUGUAUGGUGAACAUUUUCAGUGACCUUUUAGAGAAUUGCAUAGAGGUGUUUAUGGAUGAUUUUAAAGUUUAUGGAUCUUCAUUUGAUGCAUGUUUGGAUAGUCUAGAUAAAGUUUUUCAUAAAUGCAUCGAAACUAACCUUGUUGUGAAUUACGAAAAAUGUCAUUUCAUGGUAGAGCAAGGCAUAGUUUUGGGGCAUGUGAUCUCAAAUAGAGGUCGGGGUAGACCCUGCCAAGAUAUAUGUUAUUUCACAAUUUCCUCACCCCUCUUGCGUGCGAUAGGUUCGUUCUUUUCUUG